AACUGUUGCGGCAGCCAUGCUUGUGAGCUUAUGAUGUGCCGCUAGUUUAGUUUGUCGGUUUCUGUGAACCGUUCUCUGUGAUGUAUGAUGUAUUGCUGCUGUUAGCUGUAAAUGUGUUGUAUGAUGAGUUGACUUGAUGGUUCGUUUGAGGCUGUCUUGUGAAGGUUACUGUUAGUUAACAUGAGUUAAACAAAUACAUACACUUGCUGCUGUUAGCUGUAAACAUGAGUUGACUUGAUGGUUCGUUUGAGGCUGUCUUGUGAAGGUUACUGCUAGUUAACAUGAGUUAAACUAUUACAUGCACUGGGACCCAUUUGACUAGUGGACCCAUUUAAUAAAAAUAAAAAUGAAAUUGUUUAGACAAAAAGGCCACGGCCCAACAAUAAAAAAGGCUGCAACGUUGGGCUUGGCCCAUGAAGUCGACCAAAAAUUAACAGAAAAAGGCUGAAUUGUUGGGCUCGGCCCAUCUAAAGCAGCGAAAUGGACCGGGCUGAUUCUUAUCAACGACCUUUUCAUUUGGUCGCAAUUUUGCCACGUCAGAUUGCCACGUCGGAUCCGACGGGGCCUGGGCAGAGAGCUAGCGACCAAAAUAGAAGGUCACAGAAUCAACGACCUUUUGUUUUGGUCGUGGAAUUCCACGACAUUCUCAAAGAGAAGGUCGUUAAUUUCAAUUUACGACCGCCAGCUUUUGACCAUCUAUUUUUGGUCAAAAAAAGGUCGCAAAUGAAAAUCAAUGACCUUUCAGUGACCAAUAGUGAGGAUUGCAAGUUGACAUAUUUCUUGUAGUGAAUUCCGGAUAACUUCAUAAUAUAUUAUGAAGCCUCUGCUUGGCUCAAUGGAUAGGCGUACAAGUCGCCGCCACUGUGUUUUGAUUAACUUCAACAACCAGUUGGGAUGAAUCAUCAGCUGGGUUAUUGACACAGCCCAUACGGGAUCAUUUAUAACCCGCCGAGGGUUCCGCUGUUUAACAAUAUGUCGGUUUAUAUCACGGUCAAGUAUGGAGAAUCUCAAGACAACUCCUCGAGUCGUCUUAAGACUCGGGGGCUACAAUGACAUGACUCAGCAAAUCCUGCCAGCUUCAGCUAAUUCAAGAACCCCGGGUCAUUGGAGGGAAGAUAACCCGGUCCCAGAGGCUACUGCUAUAUUGAUGAAAAUUUAAAGGCCGUCAGAAAAUUCCUGGCUUAAAAUGAAGAAUUCGGGAUUAAAAUCCAGCUCAAGGGAAAUCUAUCUCUCAUAAAGCUUUGAAGCUCUCAACAUCCGGUUUAAAAUUCCGGUUCAAAAAGAAUCCUUCUCUCGCAAGUUCGAGUUCAAGAAAAAUUAAAGGUUGCCAAAGAGAACUCGCUACCAUGAUGCGCGGUUCAAACAUGGGUAUCCUGCCUUAUUGGCUUAUCACAUUAUUGAUCACUUGGGGGCUUGCUGCUCAUUGAGCAUAGCUAUGACUACCUUCUUAAUCCGGCUUGUACGCCAUGAUUACAAAAUACUUGGGGGCUUCCUGCUCAUUGAGCAUAGCUGUGAUUACCCUAUUGAUAACCCACUUGGAGACUUGAUGCCCGGGUUAAAGGUACCAAAGAGAGUCUAUUGCAGAGCACAGCUCAAACAUAGGUACCCUGCUUUGAUGGCUCAAUAUAUAUCACUUGGGGGCUCCCUGUUCAUUGUAACAUAGCUUUGGUAACCAUUUUGAUUGGCUUGAAACGCCAGGUGUAUACACCAAAAAAUUUCAGUUGAUCCUGCCUUUUACGUCUGCCACUUCGCUCAGGUAAUCCUGGAAUGACCCACCGAACUCUUAACAGUCAAUCUUAUUAAGACCCUGAACUUGUCAAGGUUAAAACGGCGGUUGGUCAUGUGAGGCCCGACUUAUAAGGUUUGAAUGAAGGAUUAACUUAGCGGUUGUGCAAGCCUAUGAAAAGCACUUGAUGAUUGAGGCCUGGCCGCCUAUGAAAGCCUUGAUUUUUUGUUAUUUGUUUUUGAACGAUGUUUGAGUUCAUACCUUUUUUGAUAUAUGGUUUAAACUGAUUCAGGCCAUGUAGCCUUAAUCCUUAUGACUCGUAUUUGAGCAUAUUUGGGGUUUGAUAACCCAGCCUGGCUUUGGAUGAUAAGUCGCCAGUAUGCUUUGAUUGUGCGCUGAUGUCUACUACGCAACCUUCUUCUUGUAGACGUUGUUGGGCCUCCAAGUGCAGAGGUUUGUAGGACAAUAGCAAAUUUCCCUCAAGUGGAUGACCUAAGGUUUACCAAUCCAUGGGAGGCGUACGAUGAAGAUGGUCUCUAUCAAACAACCCUGCAACCAAAUAACAAAGAGUCUCUUGUGUCCCCAACACACCCAAUACAAUGGUAAAUUGUAUAGGUGCACUAGUUCGGCGAAGAGAUGGUGAUACAGGUGCAAUAUGGAUGGUAGAUAUAGGUUUUUGUAAUCUGAAAAUAUAAAAACAGCAAGGUAACUAAUGAUAAAAGUGAGCACAAACGGUAUUGCAAUGAUAGGAAACAAGGCCUAUGGUUCAUACUUUCACUAGUGCAAUUUCUCUCAACAAUAAUAACAUAAUUGGAUCAUAUAACUAUCCCUCAACAUGCAACAAAGAGUCACUCCAAAGUCACUAAUAGCGGAGAACAAAUGAAGAGAUUAUGGUACGGUACAAAACCACCGCAAAGUUAUUCUUUCCGAUCAAUCCAUUGUGCUAUUCAUAUAAGUGUCACAAACAGCCCUAGAGUUCGUAGUAAAAUAACACCUUAAGACACACAUCAACCAAAACCAUAAUGUCACCUAGAUACUCCAAUGUCACCUCAAGUAUCCGUGGGUAUGAUUAUACGAUAUGCAUCACACAAUCUCAGAUUCAUCUAUUCAACCAACACAUAGAACCUCAAAGAGUGCCCCAAAGUUUCUAUCGGAGAGUCAAGACGAAAACGUGUGCCAACCCCUAUGCAUAGGUUCAUGGGCAGAACCCGCAAGUUGAUCACCAAAGCAUACAUCAAGUGAAUCAAUAGAAUAACCCAUUGUCACCACGGUUAUCCCACGCAAGACAUACAUCAAGUGUUCUCAAAUCAUUAAAGACUCAACCCGAUAAGAUAACUUCAAAGGGAAAACUCAAUCCAUUACAAGAGAGUAGAGGGGGAGAAACAUCAUAAGAUCCAACUAUAAUAGCAAAGCUCGCCAUACAUCAAGAUCGUGCCAAAUCAAGAACACGAGAGACAGAUCAAACACAUAGCUACUGGUACAUACCCUCAGCCCUGAGGGUGAACUACUCCCUCCUCGCCAUGGAGAGCGCCGGGAUGAUGAAGAUGGCCAGCGGUGAGGGAUCCCCCACCCCUCCGGAAGGGUGCCGGAACUGGGUCCCGAUUGGUUUUUGGUGGCUACAGAGGCUUGCGGCGGCGGAACUCCCGAUCUAUUCUGUUUUUCGAAGGUUUUUGGGUAUAUUGGUAUAUAUAGGAGGAAGAAAUACGUCAGGGGAGCCACGAGGGUGGAGGGCGCGCCCAGGGGGGUGGGCGCGCCCCCUGCCUCGUGCCCUCCUCGUUGAUUUCCUGACGUGCACUCCAAGUCCCCUGGAUUGCUUCCAUUCCAAAAAUAACUUUCCCAAAGGUUUCAUUCCGUUUGGACUCCAUUUGAUAUUCCUUUUCUGCGAAACACUGAAACAAGGGAAAAACAGAAACUGGCACUGGGCUCUUGGUUAAUAGGUUAGUCCCAAAAAUAAUAUAAAAGUGUUUAAUAAAGCCCAUAAACAUCCAAAACAGAUAAUAUAAUAGCAUGGAACAAUCAAAAAUUAUAGAUACGUUGGAGACGUAUCAGCAUCCCCAAGCUUAAUUCAUGCUCGUCCUCGAGUAGGUAAAUGAUAAAAACAGAAUUUUUUAUGUGGAAUGCUACCUAACAUAAUUAUCAAUGUAAUCUUUUUUAUUGUGGCAAGAAUAUUCAGGUCCAUGAGAUUCAAGACAAAAGUUUAAUAUUGACAUAAAAAUAAUAAUACUUCAAGCAUACUAACUAAGCAAUCAUGUCUUCUCAAAGUAACAUGGCCAAAGAAAGUUCAUCCCUACAAAAUCAUAUAGUUUGGUCAUGCUCCAUUUUCAUCACACAAGAAUGCUCUCGUCAUGCACAACCCCGAUGACAAGCCAAGCAAUUGUUUCAUACUUUAGUAAUAUCAAAAUUUUCAACCUUCACGCAAUACAUGAGCGUGAGCCAUGGAUAUAGCACUAUGGGUGGAAUAGAAUAUGAUGAUGGGGGUUAUGUGGAGAAGACAAAAAAGGAGAAACUCUCACAUUGACGCCGCUAAUCAACGGGCUAGGGAGAUGCCCGUCAAUUGAUGUCAAUGCAAGGAGUAGGGAUUGCCAUGCAACGAAUGCACUAGAGCUAUAAAUGUAUGAAAGCUCAACAAAAGAAACUAAGUGGGUGUGCAUCCAACUUGCUUGCUCAUGAAGACCUAGGGCACUUGAGGAGGCCCAUUGUUCGAAUAUACAAGCCAAGUUCUAUAAUCAAAAAUUCCCACUAGUAUAUGAAAAUGACAAAACAAGAGACUCUCUAUCAUGAAGAUUCUGGUGCUACUUUGAAACACAAGUGUGGUAAAAUGAUAGUAACAUUGUCCCUUCUCUCUUUUUCUCUCAUUUUUUUGGGCCUUCUCUUUUUUUAUGGCCUUUCUCUCUCUUUUUUUUAUAGUCCUCACUUGGGACAAUGCUCUAGAAAAUGAUGAUCAUCACACUUCUAUUUAUUUACAACUCAAUGAUUACAACUCGAUACUAGAACAAAGUAUGACUCUAUAUGAAUGCCUCCGGCGGUGUACCGGGAUAUGCAAUGAACCAAGAGUGACAUGUAUGAAAGAAUUAUGAAUGGUGUCUUUGCCACAAAUACUAUGUCAACUACAAGAUCAUGCAAAGCAAUAUGACAAUGAUGAACGUGUCAUGAUAAACGGAACGGUGGAAAGUUGCAUGGCAAUAUAUCUCGGAAUGGCUAUGGAAAUGCCAUAAUAGGUAGGUAUGCUGGCUGUUUUGAGGAAGAUAUAAGGAGGUUUAUGUGUGAAAGAGCAUAUCAUAUCACGGGGUUUGGAUGAACCGGCGAAGUUUGCACCAACUCUAAAUGUGAGAAAGGGCAAUGCACGGUACCGAAGAGGCUAGCAAUGAUGGAAAGGUGAGAGUGCGUAUAAUCCAUGCACUCAACAUUAGUCAUCAAGAACUCACAUACUUAUUGCAAAAAUCUACAAGUCAUCAAAAACCAAGAACUACGUGCAUGCUCCUAGGGGGAUAGAUUGGUAGGAAAAGACCAUCGCUCGUCCCCGACCGCCACUCAUAAGGAAGACAAUCAAGGAACACCUCAUGUUUCAAAUUUGUUACAUAACGUUUACCAUACGUGCAUGCUACGGGACUUGCAAACUUCAACACAAGUAUUUCUCAAAUUCACAACUACUCAACUAGCACAACUUUAAUAUCACUACCUCCAUAUCUCAAAACAAGCAUCAAGUAUCAAACUUCUCUUAGUAUUCAGUGCACUUAUAUGAAAGUUUUUAUUAUACCCAUCUUGGAUGCCCAUCAUAUUAGGACUAGUUACAUAACCAAAGCAAACUACCAUGCUGUUCUAAAGACUCUCAAAAUAAUAUAAGUGAAGAAUGAGAGUUCAUCUAUUUCUUCAAAAUAAAACCACCGCCGUGCUCUAAAAGGAUAUAAGUGAAGCACUAGAGCAAAUGACAAACUACUCCGAAAGAUAUAAGUGAAGAUCAAUGAGUAGUCGAAUAAUUAUACAACUAUGUGAAGACUCUCUAACAUUUAAGAAUUUCAGAUCUUGAUACUUUAUUCAAACAAAAAGCAAAACAAAAGAAAAUAAAAUGACGCUCCAAGCAAAACACAUAUCAUGUGGUGAAUAAAAAUAUAGCUCCAAGUAAAGUUACCGAUGAACGAAGAGGAAAGAGGGGAUGCCAUCCGGGGCAUCCCCAAGCUUAGGCUCUUGGUUGUACUUGAAUAUUACCUUGGGGUGCCUUGGGCAUCCCCAAGAUUAGGCUCUUGCCACUCCUUAUUCCAUAGUCCAUCGAAUCUUUACCCAAGACUUGAAAACUUCACAACACAAAACUUAACAGAAAACUCGUAAGCUCCGUUAGCGAAAGAAAACAAAAAACCACUUCAUGGUACUGUAAUGAAAUCAUUCUUCAUUUAUAUUGGUGUUAAACCUACUGUAUUCCAACUUCUCUAUGGUUUAUAAACUAUUUUACUAGCCAUAGAGUCAUCAAAAUAAGCAAACAACACACGAAAAACAGAAUCUGUCAGAAAUAGAACAGUCUGUAGUAAUCUGUAACUAACGCAAACUUCUGGAACUCCAAAAAUUCUAAAAUAAAUUUUUGGACCUGAGGAAUUUGUCUAGUAAUCAUCUGCAAAAAGAAUCAACUAAAUAGCACUCUCCAGUAAAAAGUUUAGCUAAUCUCGUGAGCGCUAAAGUUUCUGUUUUUUUACAGCAUGCUCAUAAAGACUUCACCCAAGUCUUCUCAAAUGUUCUACUUGGCACAAACACUAAUUAAAACACAAAACCACAUCUAAACAGAAUCUAGAUGGAUUAUUUAUUCCUAAACAGAACCAAAAAGUAAGAAACUAAAAUUAAGUUGGGUUGCCUCCCAACAAGCGCUAAUGUUUAACGCCCCUAGCUAGGCAUGAUGAUUUCAAUGAUGCUCACAUAAAAGAUAAGAAUUGAAACAUAAAGAGAGCAUCACGAAGGAUAUGACUAGCACAUUUAAGUCUAACCCACUUCCUAUGCAUAGGGAUUUUGUGAGCAAACAACUUAUGGGAACAAUAAUCAUCUAGCAUAGGAAGGCAAAACAAGCAUAACUUCAAAACUUUAAGCACAUAAAGAGGAAACUUGAUAUUAUUGCAAUUCCUACAAGCAUAUGUUCUUCCCUCAUAAUAGUUUUCAGUAGCAUCAUGAAUGAAUUCAACAAUAUAACCAGCACCUAAAGCAUUCUUUUCAUGAUCUACUUGCAUAGAAAUUUUACUACUCUCAUAAGCAAAAUUCUUCUCAUUCCGAAUAGUGGGAGUAUCAUAAGAGACUUGAAUACUAUAAAUUGUUUCCACAUUAAAAGAGUAAUGUUCAGAAAAAGGGUAAUCAGAAUCAUGACAAGUUUUAUAAAUAUAAUCAUCACUACUUUUUAUAGCAUAAGUUUCAUCACAAUAAUCAGCAUAAGUAGCAACUGUGUUCUCAUCAUAAUCAAUUGAAACCUCUUCCGAAAUAGUGGAUACAUCACUAAAUAAAGUCAUGACCUCUCCAAAUCCACUUUCAUAAAUAUUAAAAGAUUCAACACCCUCCAAAAUAGUGGGAUCAUUACUUCCUAAAGUUGACACUCUUCCAAACCCACUUUCAUCAAUAUAGUCAUCAUAAGUAGGAGGCAUGCUAACAUCAUAACAAAUUUGCAUAUCAAAACUUGGGAGGCUAAAAAUAUCAUCUUCAUCAAACAUAGCUUCCCCAAGCUUGUGGCUUUGCAUAUCAUUAGCAUCAUGGAUAUUCAUAGAAUUCAUACUAACAACAUUGCAAUCAUGCUCAUCAUUCAAAUAUUUAGUGCCAAAAAUUCUAAUGCAUUCUUCCUCUAGCAAUUGAGCACAAUUAUCGGAAUCCUUAUUUUCAUGAAAGAUAUUAAAAAGAUGAAGCAUAUGAGGUACCCUCAAUUCCAUUUUUUUGUUGUUUUCUUUUAUAGACUAAACUAGUGAUAAGGCAAGAAACUAAAAGAUUCGAUUGCAAGAUCUAAAGAUAUAACUUCAAGCACUCACCAUCCCGGCAACGGCACCAGAAAAGAGCUUGAUGUCUACUAAGCAACCUUCUUAGUGUAGACGUUGUUGGGCCUCCAAGUGUAGAGGUUUGUAGGACAGUAGCAAAUUUCCCUCAAGUGGAUGACCUAAGGUUUAUCAAUCCGUCGGAGGCGUAGGAUGAAGAUGGUCUCUCUCAAACAACCCUGCAACCAAAUAACAAAGAGUCUCUUGUGUCCCCAACACACCCAAUACAAUGGUAAAUUGUAUAGGUGCACUAGUUCGGCGAAGAGAUGGUGAUACAAGUGCAAUAUGGAUGGUAGAUAUAGGUUUUUGUAAUCUGAAAAUAUAAAAACAGCAAGGUAAGUAAUGAUAAAAGUGAGCACAAACGGUAUUGCAAUGAUAGGAAACAAGGCCUAGGGUUCAUACUUUCACUAGUGCAAGUUCUCUCAACAAUAAUAACAUAAUUGGAUCAUAUAACUAUCCCUAAACAUGCAACAAAGAGUCACUCCAAAGUCACUAAUAGCGGAGAACAAAUGAAGAGAUUAUGGUAGGGUACGAAACCACCUCAAAGUUAUUCUUUCCGAUCAAUCCAUUGGGCUAUUCCUAUAAAUGUCACAAACAGCCCUAGAGUUCGUAGUAAAAUAACACCUUAAGACACACAUCAACAAAAACCCUAAUGUCACCUAGAUACUCCAAUGUCACCUCAAGUAUCCGUGGGUAUGAUUAUACGAUAUGCAUCACACAAUCUCAGAUUCAUCUAUUCAACCAACACAUAGAACCUCAAAGAGUGCCCCAAAGUUUCUACCGGAGAGUCAAGACGAAAACGUGUGCCAACCCCUAUGCAUAGGUUCAUGGGCGGAACCCGCAAGUUGAUCACCAAAGCAUACAUCAAGUGAACCAAUAGAAUAACCCAUUGUCACCACGGUUAUCCCACGCAAGACAUACAUCAAGUGUUCUCAAAUCAUUAAAGACACAAUCCGAUAAGAUAACUUCAAAGGGAAAACUCAAUCCAUUACAAGAGAGUAGAGGGGGAGAAACAUCAUAAGAUCCAACUAUAAUAGCAAAGCUCGCGAUACAUCAAGAUCAUGCCAAAUCAAGAACACAAGAGAGAGAGAUCAAACACAUAGCUAUUGGUACAUACCCUCAGCCCCGAGGGUGAACUACUCCCUCCUCGUCAUGGAUAGCGCCGGGAUGAUGAAGAUGGCCACCGGUGAGGGAUCCCCCCCCCCUCCGGCAGGGUGCCGGAACAGGGUCCCGAUUGGUUUUUGGUGGCUACAGAGGCUUGCGGCGGCGGAACUCCCGAUCUAUUCUGUUUUUUGAAGGUUUUUGGGUAUAUUGGUAUAUAUAGGAGGAAAAAAUACGUCAGGGGAGCCACGAGGGGCCCAGGAGGUGGGCGCGCCCCCUGCCUCAUGCCCUCCUCGUUGAUUCCCUGACGUGCACUCCAAGUCCCCUGAAUUGCUUCCGUUCCAAAAAUAACUUUCCCGAAGGUUUCAGUCCGUUUGGACUCCGUUUGAUAUUUCUUUUCUGCGAAACACUGAAACAAGGGAAAAACAGAAACUGGCACUGGGCUCUUGGUUAAUAGGUUAGUCCCAAAAAUAAUAUAAAAGUGUUUAAUAAAGCCCAUAAACAUUCCAAACAGAUAAUAUAAUAGCAUGGAACAAUCAAAAAUUAUAGAUACGUUGGAGACGUAUCAUGCGCUUGGAGUUCUGUGCUCUAAGUUUUUGGGUUGUUACCCUUGCUGCGUAUGGCGCUGUAAGCCGGCUGUAUGAACCGAUUUCACAGGCCAUGUAGCCUUGAUUGUAUGACUCAUCAUGGAGCAUCUUUGGGUUUGAUAACCCGCCCUGAUAGCGGAUGUUGAGUCGCCAAGAUAUCUUUGCAUUGAGCAAUCAAAAUUAUGAUAUUACAUGCCUACGGGUCAAUACCCGUGACGGAUUAUAAUUAUUGAGGUAUCACCAGGAUGUCAAUCUCCAGGUAUGUUUUUCAAUAAUGGUAUGAAUAUUUUGGGUUUGGUAACCCGCCCUGGCUAUGGACUUUAAGUUUCUAGAAUACUUUGGAUUGCGCAAUUGGGAUUAUGCGCUUAUGAAUACUUGGGAUGUGGCUAUGUAAGCCGGCAAUUUGAGCCAAAUUUCUAGGUAUGUUUUUAAAUUGUUGGAUGAAUAUGUGAGGUUUGAUAACCCGCCCUGGCUUUGGACAUUAAGUCGCCAGUAUAUUUUGGAUUGCACCAUUGGAAUCAUGCGCUUAUAAAUUAUUGGAUUGUUACCCUCACUGGAUAUGGCGAUGUACGCCAGCGGUAUAAAUCAAUCCUACAGGUAUGUUUUCCUGGUUAUAUGAAUAUACGAGGUUUGAUAACCCGCCCUAGCUUUUGACUUUAAGUCGCCAGUAUGUUUAGGCUUGAAUGUCCUUGCUUAGUCUUUUCGGUAAUUACAUAAGACUAUAUUAUGUUUGGGUUGUUGCCCGCCCUGGCUUUUGACGUUAAGUCGCCAGGGCAUAUGUUGUUUAAACUGUGUAGAACAUGCAGAGCUUUACACAUAAGUAAGAAUACUGCUAUUGCUCAUAUGAAUCAUUGCGUUUAAACCCAUCAUCUGGCCAUCUGAAGAUAUUGCCGGGUUAUCCGGCUCCGGGCUAUAUUGUUCAAUAUUGAGUUUAUUGAGGCUAUGAGCUGCCAAAGUGAUCUUGUCAAAAACUGGACAUGAUUAUGAGCCGCCAUGGAUGGGGUUAUCAAUUCUUGAUUUUUACAAAGGCUAUAAGCCGCUGGAUUGCAAAGUCCCGGAUUACAAUGGAUGCGCAUUAAGUCGCCAUCGACCAAGAGCCGCCGGGUAUUUAAAUUCCGGAUUUACUUGUCAAACAGAUAAGGUAUUCAAAUCUUUAAUAGCCAAACUUGGCUGGAGUUUCAUUAUAAUAUUGAAUGAUUGAGGUUUUCAUACCGGAUUAUAUGACCCGGCCGGACAUGGCGCCUCACCAGAAACCCGGUUGAUACUUGGCGACUCACUAGAGACCCGCCCGAACCUCAGCGACUCAUUAGUAACCCGGCGGGCGGGUCAGACGAUCGACAAGACCCAACGGCCCAGAAGGCGACUCGUGGGAAGGCCGGCUCGUGUUAUGGUGGGCCGGCUUAAGAUGAAAGGCUAAAGAAUAUUCUCCUAGAAAGAAAGCAAGACUAGGACUGCACUUGUAAUAGAGUAGUCCUAGUCCUACUAGGACUCCACAUGUAACCCGCCCCUCCAACUUAGAUAAGGAGGGACAGGGCACCCCAAGAGGGACAAGUUUUCACGAGUUGGACAAGUUAGGGUUAGACAGACAAGUCUAUAGCUAUCGAGAUAGAGCACCCUUGUAAUCGUGAUCAUCAUCAUCAAUAUCAAUGAAGCAGGAUGUAGACUUUUACCUCCACCGUGAGGGCCGAACUUCGGUAAAAAACCUCGCGUCUCUCGCCCCACUCAACCCCUCUCAAGCUACCACAUAGAUGCGUUGGCUUCAUGACUAAGUCCUCAUACUAGGACAUCUGCCGUGACAAAUCCACGACAAGAUUCAAGUGGAGGCAACAUGUGGUGCACAUCGAAAGUUUGGAUUAGUAGUAUAGCUUCGAGAUGCACCACAUGCUGCCUCCACUUGAACCUAAUCCACCUCCAUUUCACACACUGUUAUGGACAUAAUGAUAUAUCAACCUCAUAAUUGGUCCUGUAUACAAAUUUGUACAACGGCGUAUAAAUACACUAAAAGUAAAAAAAUAAAAAACAGUAUACUGGUAGCGCUGGACCGGAAACACGCUACUACUAGCUAGUUAGAUUAGCAGUAGCGUGUGUUGCACGGGCUACUGCUAAGGAAUAGCUGUAGCGCCUUACUAGUAGUGCGGUGACACGCGCUACUAGUAGAUCAACGUCUUCAGUGGCAUGUUCAGCAGCUGGAUCUUCUCCGCGGUGGUCGGCACUACCAUCGGGUUCCAGGUGAUCCUCGUGGAGUUGUUGGGCACGGUUCACCUGAACGGGAGGCUGUGACUCAUGAGUGUGUUGAUCGGGUCGGUCAGCCUGGUUAUCGGCGCCGUCCUCAAGUGCAUCCCUGUUGGUUCCGGCAACGCCUCGUCCGAUCGUCACGACGGAUACCAGCCCAUCCCCACCGGCCCUAGUGCCAUGUGAUUUUGAAGAAGUUUUGGUUGGUUUGUUUAGGAAAGGGGAAGAUGUAUGAAUCUUUUAGAAUCAAACUUUGCAGCUUCAGUUUUUUGUAGGAGGUACCGGAACAAUUUUUUUGGAUUGAGAAAACCGGACAUACUUGUGGUAAUGACGGUUCUGAGAAAUUUAAGUUUCUAUUUUUUUUCGUUGUUUUUGUUUUGUGCUUUCUAGCCAAAUAGGACUAUGGAUUUCCAUUGUAGGAUUACUAUGCAAUGAUAAAUGCAGUUGCUUACUAUCUAGUAUCUAUACACAAAUCUUCACAUUUAGGGUUAUACUCAUGCGGGUGACAUGUGAUUUCUGGAAGAUGUUCUUUUUAUUUAUUUUUCCUUUUGGAGGAAAAGAAUGUAGUGUUAAAUGAACUUUUAAGUACAGUUUGAGCUUUUUCCCCACUCAGGCAAAUGAAGUUUCUGAAAUUUUAUUGUAGAAUCCUUAUAAACAACAAAAAAAAACUGAACCAUGCAGGAGACUUACAUGUACUCCCUCCAUUUCAAAAUAUACGGUGUAUUAGUUUUUUCAAAAAUAAAACAUGUGCAAGCUUGACCAAGGUUUAAGAAAAAAUUAUCAAUAUUUACAAUACCAAAUUUGUAGCAUUAGAUCCUUCACUAAACAAAUUCAUAUUUUCUUUAUUUGGUUUUGUAGAAGUUCAUAUUUUAUUCUAUAAUCUUGGUCGAACAUAUAUAAGUUUGACUUGCACGAACCUGAUUCACCUUAUAUUCCGGAACGGAGGAAGUAAUUCGGUAAUAAAGAGAUCAGUACAACGCCAAAGAUGGCACAACCGUUACAUCGCCAACACCAUGACCAAACUACGACACUUACAUCACCAACAAUGGCGCAACCUAAACAACACAAUGAGAAUGACCCAAUACAACUCGGACUAGGGCAAGCGUCCAACACCAGGCAUAAAGAACAGAGAAAGAUCCUCUGCAAGAGCCUGCACAAUAGCCCGACACAACACUACCCCAACGACGACUACCACGUCAACGAUUACUGACGUACAAGCAAUACUAUUUGCAGCAACAUAGGCAUGACGUCACGAAUACAAGAGUCCACCUCAGGCUGUAAGUGGGACGCUCCGCGGGAGGCCCGCGUCCGCCCCACAUCUGCCGCGUAGAUUAAGUGGAAUUCCCGUUAAAGCCUGCAUAUUAUUAUGUGGGAUAUGUGGGUUUAGUAGGAUACCCACAAAAUUCAUACAGAUGCUUCUGUUGAAAGUCAACUUGAGGUGGUGAGCUACAAUGACUGGUUCGUCGGGAGCUCGAACAGCUCGUGUGCAUGAUGCGCACGUACAGCCGGCAUGCCUUGGCCUUGCCCUAGUGCUCUUGUGCCGUCGAUGGAGCCUCUUGGAGCAAGAAAGACUGCUCGCUGAAACAAACCCAACAGUUCAGAUCGCUGAAUCAACUACUCCCUCCGUUCGGAGUCAUUUUUGUGACAAGUAAUUCCGAACUGAAGGAGUAGUAACUAAUAGCCAUACAUUUACAAGUUUUCAGUAGAGUAGCAUUUAUAUACCAGGUUAACACCUCACACAUACACAAACACAGACACAAAUACAAGCGUCCAUGGCUGGACGCGGCGCGGCAGCCGGUGCUGGCGAUGCACGGAGACAGGCUGUCGACGUGGCCGUCCAACAGGCCGCGGCCCUCACGGACACCGACGAGCAGGCCUCGGUUCCACGGACGUCGCACACAGGAGUACGUCCUCGAGCCUGCAGGACCGUCGGCGAGCGCGCCCGGCGGCCGGAAGCUGCGACGGAGGUAGACGGCGGCACUGCGGCGCCCACGGCGGAGAUGGGCGAUGACGCUAGUGCGGCCAUAGAGGAGGUCGACGGAGUCGCUAGGUCGUCCAUGGAGGAGGUGGACGACGAGGUAGGCCGGCCAUGGCUGGCGGCGACCCCUAAUCCCCGCAGCGUGUCCAGAUAAGUGGGUUCGAUGUGGGCAUCGUGGGAUAACCCACAUAUUCCACAUAUUGUGGUGUAUUGACCGUGGGUGUCCACGAACGCAAAAUAAACGGGCCUUUAAGUGGGCACCGCGGGUGGCCCGUGUCCACCUACAGCCUGAAGUCCACCAUUCCAACGCCGCCAGGCUAGCCUCCAUCCAGACCAUACAAGGAGAGUCAUGGGGGUGGGCAUGCAAAACCGGAGGGGGGCAGCGACGACCAACCAGGGGCGCUAGCGAGGAAAAGGCGACGCUCGCGCAAAACAAACACUGACUAUCACUAGCCUUCCAUCAACACCAGUCACCACGGGUCUCUCUCGAACUCUCCAUAGAAGACAGAACGCGAGAGGAAUCCCAGAGGCGUCCGUUUUCCCGGUCCUUCCGCCGGCGACCUCGCCGCUCCUCCUCGCCUCUGAUGGCCGUUUUGGCCUCAGCAGGAGGGGGGAGCUCCGGGGAAGCCCGGCCGUCUAGGUAGGUUCCAGGAGGCGCCGUUUAGAUGUCGGCGGCGGCACCGUGUCAGAAUAAAUGUCGCCUGGCUUCAGCCGUGUUUCGUCGGAGAUCUUGUCCCCGGCGAGAAGCCCAUGGGUGCGUGGUUCAUGUUGAGGAUAUGUGUUAUGUGCAUAUUGUGUAUUGGGCUGGCUUCCUAGUUCCUUGUAUAAUUGAGGUAUGUGGCUCAUCUUUGUAUAUCAUAUAUACGUGCCUAUGCACAAAGAGCAAUACAUCAUGCAAUUCACAUAUUCUAUAUAGUAUCAGUUUUUUAGGUUCUCUCGCUUCCGCUGCCGCCGCCGUCGUGCGUCUCCUCCGCGCCGCCGCCGCCGCCGCCCGAUCUCCUUGCCGCCAACAGUCAAUCCACGGCCGCCGCAGCCCUCUGCCACCCGUUCGCCGACGCCAACCCUCCCGACGUCAAUGACAUCCGCAACCUCAACAUCUUCGAGCGGGUGUCGGUUCGUCUUUCGCAGGCGAACUCCUCCUACUACACGUGGAAGACCUACUUUUCCCUCGUGUUUCGGGAGUAUCAUCUUGUUGAUCACGUGGACGGCACCGUCGACUCCAGCCUUGUCCCCGAUUUCCAUGAAUGGUCCACCAUCGACACCACGAUCAUCCGAUGGUUCUUCCUCACCAUCUCGCCAGACCCCUUCCAGGCGGUUGUCCAAGACGGUGAUGACGCAUGCGCCGUGUGGACCAACCUGAACGGGCUCUUCACCGACAACAAGCUCCAGCAUCGCGUUUUUUUUGCAGCAAGAGUUCUUUGGGUGUCACCAGGACAACACCUCCGUCGACGACUAUUGUCGCCGCCUGAAGACUCUCACUGACGAGCUCCGCGAUAUUGGCGCGAAAAUUGAUGAUGACCUCCUCCUCACCACGCUGACCGCCGGGCUCAACGAGGAUUUCGGCAACGCCGCGGCGAACCUCAGUCUCAUCCCCAACCCGUCCUUCGCCAAGUUCAUUGUGUACCUCCGCUUGGAGGAGCAGCGGAUGAAGCAGGUGAAGGCGCGGGCCAUCCACACCGCCCUCGCCGCCGGCACCACCCAUGGCGGGUCCUCGGCGCCUCCCGCUGCCCCGGCCGCGCCCCUGCCGCAGCGCCACCUGGCGCCGCUGCCGUACCCGGCGCCCCAGCAAUCGGGGCUGCUCCCGCUGCCUUAUGGGUCGCCCGCCCCUCCCGCAGAACGGCGCCGCGGGGGCCGGCGUGGUGGGGGCCACCGCGGCGGUCAGCAGCAGCAGCCGCAGGGCGCCGGCCAGCCCCGUCAGCAGCAGCAGCAGCAGUUCCAGGUGCCCCCUCCGUGGGCCUCCGGCUACAACCCGUGGACCAGUGUUGUUCAUACCCACACCAUGCCGGUUCCACGGGCUCCUGGACCGACCCUUCCCGUGCCGCGCCCGUCGGCGCAUCAGGCGUAUUACGCGGCUCCGCAGCCGUACGGAGGAUACCCACUGCUGCAGCUGAGCGGCGCCUACGGUCUUCCUGCGGCCCCGCCGCCGCCCUUGCCGGCCCUGCCGCCGGCGCCUUGGGAUCCGGUGCUCCUCGCUGCGCUGCACACCGCGCCUACGCCGAACAACUACACUGGAGGCGGUGAUUGGUACAUGGACACCGGGGCUACGGCUCACAUGUUUGCUUAUCCUGAUAAUCUUGCCUCCUUCACUCCCGUCACCACCGAUCGGCGCAUCAUUGUCGGCGACGGUUCCACACUCCCUAUCACACAUGUCGGGCACACUUCUUUUCCUUCUAAUUCCAUGCCUAUUACUUUGUCUAACAUACUACUGUCACCUCAUCUUAUUAAGAACCUUGUUUUCGUUCGUUGUUUAACUCGUGAAAAUCCUGUUACUGUUGAAUUUGAUGAGCCUGGUUUUUGUGUCAAGGACGCUCGAACCAGGAUGGUACUUCACCGAUGUGACAGCCUCGACGAGCUCUAUCCGGUGCAUCCGCCGUCCACACCGGUUGCUCUCUCCGCCGGUGUCAAUCUCUGGCACGCUCGUUUGGGUCAUCCCAACCCAGUCACACUUCGUCAUAUUCUUAGGAGUUUCAGUUUCAGUUGUAAUAAGAUAGAGGAUCACACCUGUCAUGUCUGUCGUGUCGGCAAACAUGUUCGCCUCCCAUUUAAUAACUCCACCACCAUAGCUUCUUUUCCUUUUCAGUUGAUUCAUAGCGAUGUGUGGACCUCUCCGGUUCCUAGUAAUUCGGGCUAUUUAUAUUAUCUGGUUAUCCUUGAUGAUUAUUCUCACUAUGUGUGGACGUUUUCUUUACGACGAAAGUCGGAUGCACUCUCCACUUUGUCGGCUUUUUACUCCUAUGUCAGCACGCAGUUGGGCAUCCCAUCCUUGCUCUUCAGACUGACCAUGGAAAAGAGUUCGACAACCUUGCUUUCCGCACCUUUCUGUCGCACCACGGCACAGUUUUUCGUCUCACAUGCUCGUAUACUUCAUAGCAGAACGGUCGAGCUGAACGCGUCCUUCGCACUCUGAACGACUGCGUUCGCACGCUCCUGUUCCAUGCUAAUGUGCCGCCUCGUUUCUGGCCAGACGCACUCUCUACUGCUUCAGUUCUCCUUAACCUUCGCCCUUGCCGCCCACGAUGGAACUAUGCACCUCACCAUCUUCUCUUCGGUACGCCCCCAUCUUAUGACGGCUUGCGUAUUUUCGGGUGCCUUUGCUAUCCUAGCACUGCCGACUCCGCUCCUCACAAACUCGCACCUCGUUCUAUCGCUUGCAUCUUCAUCGGCUACCCCUCCAACUCCAAGGGAUAUCGGUGCUACGAUCCCGUCUCCCACCGUGUGUUCACCUCCCGGCACGUUUACUUUGAUGAGCAUGUGUUUCCGUUUCAACAGGUACCCCCGGCUGUUCCUCCCGCCACCAGUGACGUGGGCUCCUCGACUCCUCUCCCAGGGCGCUCACACGCCUCUCUUGGCCCGCCCCUUGGCUUUGAGGCGCGCCCCCCGCAUGCAGCGGCUCCUACCGCCGCGGCACUAGCGCCCCCGACAUUGGCGCCCGCGGCCCCCCUGGCGCCCCUGGCGUCCCCGGCCCCCCGGCUCCCUCGGCGCCCCCGACGCCCCCGGUGCCCGCGGCCGGUCCGGUCACCCGCGCCCGAACGGGUUUUUUUCGCCCGAGCUCGCACUACGCCUCGGAUGAUUACGUCCAUGCGGCUGAUGACCCACAAGUAUCGGGGAUCUAUCGUAGUCCUUUCCAUAAGUAAGAGUGUCGAACCCAACGAGGAGCAGAAGGAAAUGAUAAUCAGUUUUCAGUAAAGUAUUCUCUGCAAGCACUGAAAUUAUCGGUAACAGAUAGUUUUGUGAUAAGAUAAUUGGUAACGAGCUAGUUUUCAUCACGCUCAUAUGAUUCGCGUUCGGUACUUUGAUAAUUUGAUAUGUGGGUGUACCGGUGCUUGGGUGCUGCCCUUACUUGGACAAGCGUCCCACUUAUGAUUAACUCCUAUUGCAAGCAUCUGCAACUACAAAAGAAGUAUUAAGGUAAACCUAACCAUAGCAUGAAACAUAUGGAUCCAAAUCAGCCCCUUACGAAGCAACGCAUAAACUUGGAUUUAAGCUUCUGUCACUCUAGCAACCCAUCAUCUACUUAUUACUUCCCAAUGCCUUCCUCUAGGCCCAAACAAUGGUGAAGUGUCAUUUAGUCCACGUUCACAUGACACCACUAGAGGAGAGACAACAUACAUCUCAUCAAAAUAUCAAACGAAAACCAAAUUCACAUGACUACUAAUAGCAAGACUUCUCCCAUGUCCUCAGGAACAAACGUAACUACUCACAAAUCAUAUUCAUGUUCAUAAUCAGAGGGGUAUUAAUAUGCAUUAAGGAUCUGAACAUAUAAUCUUCCACCAAGUAAACCAACAAGCAUCAACUACAAGGAGUAAUCAACACUACUAGCAACCUACGGGUACCAAUCUCAGGCUAUGAGACGAAGAUUGGAUACAAGAGAUGAACUAGGGUUUGAGAGGAGAUGGUGCUGGUGAAGAUGUUGAUGAAGAUUGACCCCCUCCCGAUGAGAGGAUCGUUGGUGAUGACGAUGGUGAUGAUUUCCCCCUCCCGGAGGGAAGUUUCCCCGGCAGAACAGCUCCGCCGGAGCCCUAGAUUGGUUCCGCCAAGGUUCCGCCUCGUGGCGGCGGAGUCUCGUCCCGCAAGCUUGCUUAUGAUUUUUUCCAGGGUAAAAGACUUCAUAUAGCAGAAGAUGGACACCGGAGGCCUGCCAGGGGGCCCACGAGGCAGGGGGCGCGCCCAGGGGGUAGGGCGCGCCCCCCGCCCUCGUGGCCAGGGUGUUGGCCCCCUCUGGUAUUUUCUUCGCUCAGUAUUGUUUAUAAUUCCCAAAAAUAACUUCCGUGGAGUUUCAGGACUUUCGGAGUUGCGCAGAAUAGGUCUCUAAUAUUUGCUCCUUUUCCAGCCCAGAAUUCCAACUGCCGGCAUUCUCCCUCUUCAUGUAAACCUUGUAAAAUAAGAGAGAAAAGGCAUAAGUAUUGUGACAUAAUGUGUAAUAACAGCCCAUAAUGCGAUAAAUAUCAAUAUCAAAGCAUGAUGCAAAAUGGACGUAUCAGCGGCGUCCACCUCUGAGCCGUCAUUGUUGCCGUCCUCUGUUCGAGCCGCUCUUCGUGACCCGCUCAGGAUGGCUGCGAUGCAAGAGGAGUUUGACGCCCUAUUGCGCAACCGGGCGUGGCAGCUUGUUCCCUGUCCCCGGCGCGCCAACGUGAUUACCGAGAAGUGGGUCUUUAAACACAAGCUCCGUCCUGAUGGUACCCUUGAUCGCUCUAAAGUGCGUUGGGUCGUUCGUAGCUUCCGACAACGUGCUGGCAUCGACUUCACCGACACCUUCGCUCUGGUCGUCAAGCCCGGCACAAUACGCACGGUUCUCCACCUUGCGGUCUCCCGUGCUUGGCCGGUGCACCAGAUGGACGUCUCCAACGCCUUCCUCCAUGGUCACCUCGAGGAGAAGGUCUUCUGCCAGCAGCCCACCGGGUUUGUUGACCCGGCGCUUCCCGACCACGUGUGCCCGCUUUCGCGGUCCUUGUACGGACUCAAGAAGGCUCCGCGCGCUUGGUACCAGCGCAUCGCAGCGUUUCUCCACCAGCUUGGGUUCCGUUCUACCCGCUCGGACGCCUCGCUCUUCGUCUAUCAUCAGGGCUCUGACACGGCCUACUUGCUGCUCUAUGUCGACGACAUCAUCCUGACGGCUUGUACGGCUGGUCUCCUCAGUCAGCUCAAGGCUCGUCUUCGCGCUGAGUUCGCCAUCAAGGACUUGGGUCCUUUGCACUACUUCCUCGGUGUCGAGGUGGUGCGCCGUCCGGAUGGCUUCUUCCUUCAUCAGCGGAAGUACGCUCACGAACUCCUGGAGCGCGCCGGCAUGCUUAACUGCAAGCCCGCCGCUACGCCUAUUGAUACGAAGGCCAAGCUUUCUGCCACGGAUGGUUCUCCUGCUUUGGAUGCCGCUUUCUAUCGGUCUAUCGUUGGUGCUCUCUAGUACCUCACUCUGACUCGACCGGAGAUCUAGUAUGUCGUGCAGUAGGUGUGUCUUCAUAUGCAUGCUCCUCGAGACGUCCACUGGGCUGCCGUCAAGCGGAUUCUCCGCUAUAUCUGUGGCACUAUGGAUCUUGGCGUCACGCUUCACGCCUCCGCCGACACCGCCCUCACCGCCUACUCCGAUGCAGACUGGGCGGGCUGCCCUGACACUCGUCGCCCCACUUCGGGCUAUUGUGUCUACCUUGGAUCCUCACUUAUCUCGUGGUCGUCCAAGCGGCAGCCUACGGUCUCUCGUUCCAGCGCUGAGGCUGAGUAUCGUGCGGUGGCCAACGUCGUCGCCGAGUGUUCGUGGCUUCGCCAGCUGCUUAAGGAGCUCCCUUCCCCUAUUGACCGUGCCAGGAUGGUCUACUGCGACAAUGUCUCGGCGGUCUACCUCUCCGCUAACCCGGUGCAUCAUCGACGGACCAAGCAUAUUGAGUUGGAUAUUCAUUUUGUUCAGGAACAGGUGGCCCUUGGCCUAGCCUUCUAGAGCUUGUUGCAUGCCACUGUUAUCUCUCAAACGAAAGAACAUAUAAAUGUAUCGCGAUCCGUGCAGGUUAUCAGUGACAACAGGCAAGGAUCUCAAAGCAAUGUUGGAGGGAUGAGGAUAAGAGGUUUCAUAUAGCUCGGCCUGCACAGGAACUUUCUGUAUCUCCAUUCACCGUUGUGCCGCCCUUAAAUUGUUUCCGUAGGGUUCAGCCCGCGUAGAGCUUGCCGAUCUGUACGGCAGUGUAUCCAGCAGGGACAAUAUGAUAAGUGGAUACAGUAGCUGCAUUUCCGUGUACCUCCUAUACCCAACAUAUUGCACCAGCCACCCCAACUCAUACAAGUUGUCAAUUCUUCACUUUUUCAUUCUUGCUAGUUUGGGUGCUACUAUCUUGAUAAGAUGCAGACGGUCAGGAGGCUAUGAGAACAUGACUCCAUAGAAAGGAUAUCCUUUAUAAGAGUUGUUCAAGUUUAUAAUAGGAGGAGUUGGUGAGCGCAUUAGAUAUCCAUAAAUUGAAUCUAAAAUAGAAAUAAAGUCUCAAGGUUUACUACUUUCUAUUCAAUGGUAUUUGCGUUAUGUCAGUAAUUUUGAUGAUGGGGCAUUGGCAAAUGCAUCCAUGUUGAAUUUAGUGACGAUUAGUCCUACCACCAUAAUAUAGGCUACCAAGGUGAACUCGAGAGUGAUUAUCAUAGUGGUCAACAUCGCCAAAUGGCGCCACUCCGUGUAAAUCAACUCCCAAAACUUCGUCAGUUCCAACUCACUGCCAGCAUGGUGGCCCACAUGGUCGACUUUAAUUGUCUCCGCAUAUUUCACAGGUGCACUGAAACUAACUCCAUUGAUUAUUCACGCUCACACAUUUUUGCGAUGUCCUAGCACUCUCUGAGUCCAUUCACAUAUGUUUCGAUGCGUGCUGUUGAUGAUCGUGUAGCUACUUUAGGUGAACCUAAUCAUAGACACCCUCAGCGCGUUCAUAAUACAGCUACCAACCAAUACUUCCUCUGAUCACCACGAUGGAUACCAGUUGAUCCCCACCGGACAUGGACAAAGUGUCAUGUGAUGAUAUUUUAAACAUGUUUUGUUCUUGCUUCUUUGUAGGAAGAAGAAGAAGAAGAAGAAUCUGUGCUUUACAAAUUGACUUUCCAUCUUUAGUUUUUCUUCUGAUAUGUGACACCGGAAUGGAUUAAGAUGGUGAUUACACUUCCGACUUAUUUGAGACUUUUCGAUCAAAGUUUUCAUCCGAUGCUUUCUAGGUAACAACAUAUCUGAAACUUCUUAACCAUGUCGGUUUCCAUCAACAAAGGAUUAAAUGUUUCUUACAUAUAGACAAAAAUUUCUUAGUAGAAAAUUCCACCCAGAAACUCCUUCGGUUUCCAUCUAGUAGUAUCCUUUCUUUGGGCUUGGUUAUAAGUUUUUGAUGCCUCUAGAAGCAAAAGUUUAAAUGAACACCUAAUUUUUAGUUUGCUCAUGGGAAGCAUUUAUAAAUAAUGCACUACAAUCAAGAAGCACGGAAAUAGUGGCUUCUGCAAGGCCGUAACUCCUACCAGCUUCUAUUUUUUUGAUAAAGGACAUUUUAUUGAAUUGAUAUAUCGAGGUGAUACAAUCGCAUCGAAAGAAUGCCCGACCUCUGCAUAACUCCAUGCACACAGCCAAAAAGUCCAACCGAUCCAAAAAAAUAAAAUCGUCUUACAACUUAAAAAGAUAAAUUAGUCCAGCCUAUGAUGUGGCAGAUCCUAUCCGGAGAUCACACCGCCAUCCAUGGGGGAGAAAACCUCCCUGGCUAUACGCUCCAGCCGCGUAGACGCCAUCAUAAAACGGUCCCUGUCCUCCGGCCUCUGCAGGAUAUACCAAGUACGGAGCCAUCGCGUACAUACAUGAAUAAUCUGCAUAGGAGAUGAAACACAUUUUUUAUUAAAAACCACAUCAUUCCUGGUAAGCCACAAUGCCCAACAUAAGGCAGCCGCCCCCACAAGAAUAUGUGCACAAAAUUGUUUAUCAAUACCCCUCAACCAGUUGCCGAACAUGUUACAUGCACUAGGUGGUGGGUAUAAAUUUGAAGCUACUCGAACUAUGGCCCAAACCGCCCAAGCGAACUUACACUCAAAAAAUAAGUGCUUAAUAGACUCGUCGUGUUGGCAAAAGACACACGCCUUGGUGCCUUGCCAGUUGCGUCGUGCCAGAUUAUCUCUAGUUAAGAUGACCCCUCUGUUUAGGAACCAGAGGAAUAUCUUCACUCUUAGAGGGAUUUUAAGCUUCCACAAUUUCCUGUUAUUAACUGGAACAUCACAAUGAACCAUUGCAUCAUACAUGGAUUUGACUGUAAACUUGCCAUUCCGAUGCAAAUUCCAUCAAAAGAUGUCCGGUUCAUCUGACGGCUGAAUAGCCUCUAGACGUAUGAGUAGCUCAUUCCAAGCUGCCAGGCGAGGUCCUAAAAGGUCCCUACGGAAGGAAAUAUCAGGGUUUUCUUGUCCCAAAACUUGUUUGAUGGUGACAAAUUUAUGUCUAACAAUCCUAUACAAACUCGGGUAUUGCACCAUGAGUGGUGUGGUCCCUAGCCAGGUGUCUUUCCAGAAUCGAAUCUGGGAACCGUCCCUAACCGAGAAAGUCCCAAAUUGGAAAAAGAAUUCCUUGGGCUUCAUGACUCUAGACCAAAAAUGUGAGUCACCAGUUUUCCAAUGGACUUGAGAAAUGGCCUUGGAUUCCACGUACUUGUUACGAAUGAUUUCCUGCCACACUCCAUUCUCAGUGAGUAGUUUAUAAACCCAUUUGCUGAGAAGAGCAAUAUUUUUAAUCUCAAGGUCCUGAAUUCCAAGUCCCCCUUGACUUUUAGGUCGACAUAAUACAGUCCACCUAGUCAGUCGAUAUUUCUUUGAUUCAUUAUCACACUGCCAAAAAAAUCUAGAUCUAAAGUAAUCGAGACGCUGAAGAACCCCUUUCGGUAGAUGGAAGAACAACAACAUAUAUAAAACCAUGUUGCUGAGGACGGAAUUGAUCAAGAUCAAUCGCCCCCCAUAUGACAAGAGUUUGGCUUUCCAACUGGCUAGCCGUUUCUCAAGUCUCUCUUCCACGUGCUUCCACUCAGCGAUAGUUAAACGCCGAUAGUGUAUGGGAAUACCCAGAUACCGAAUCGGGAACUGCCCGAGCUGGCAUCCAAAAAUGUCAACAUACUUAGGUGCAUAUUCUGCAGCAUCCCCGAAGCAAAAAAGUUUGCUCUUAUGAAAAUUAAUUUUGAGGCCAGAAAGUUCCUCAAAUGCACAUAAAAGCAGCUUGAGAUUUCUUGCUUUAUCUAGAUCAUGAUCCAAGAAAAGUAUCGUGUCAUCUGCAUAUUGUAGGAUAGAUAAACCCUCUUCUACCAAAUGAGGAAUGACACCGCUAACCUGACCGGCCACCUUAGCCCGCUCAACAAGGGUAGCUAACAUGUCAGCCACAAUGUUAAACAAAAUGGGUGAUGCGGGGUCCCCUUGGCGAAGCCCCUUCCUUGUCUGGAAAUAGUUGCCAACCUCAUCAUUAACUUUGAUGGCCACACUACCUCCAGAAACAAAACUCUCAACCCAUCGACACCAUUUUGGUGAAAACCCCUUCAUGCGUAAAGUUUUCAACAGAAAGGGCCAUUUAACUUUAUCAUAGGCUUUUUCGAAAUCUAUUUUAAAGAUCACUCCAUUCAACUUUUUGCGGUGAAGCUCAUGUACCGUUUCAUGCAGCACAACCACACCAUCUAGUAUGUUGCGUCCUUGCAUGAAUGCUGUUUGAGUGGGCUUGACGACAUGAUCAGCCACCCCGUUCAACCGGUUAGUUGCGACAUUCGUAAAGAUUUUGAAGCUUACAUUGAGAAGGCAAAUCGGUCGAUAUUGUUGAAUACGACUGGCCUCCUUAAUCUUAGGCAGUAGGAUAAUCUCCCCAAAGUUUAAGCGGGAAAUAUCAAGGUCUUCGGUAUGCAGUUGGUUAAGCAACUGAACCAAGUCCGCCUUGAUCACAUCCCAAAAGCAUUGAUAAAACUCUGCCGGAAAACCAUCCGGUCCCGGAGCCUUGUUGUGUUCCAUUUGAAACACCGCGGUUCGAAUUUCCUCUUCAGAAAACGGAGAUGUUAAGAAUUCAUUUUCCGCUUUCGAAACUUGAGGGAUGUCAUUUUCCUACCAGCUUUUAUACCCUUGUUACAUGAAUGCUCUAAAAGUUGCUCUGACUUGUUGUAUGUAUACCUAAAAUUCCAUUACUACAUAUAUAGACAUGUUUAUGAUUAAUUUGCCACCUUCCUUGUUGGCCCGUCAUCCGUCAACCAGGUUGCAACCCCAACCUCCCUCCUUUCCCUCCAACUCAAUUCACUGUUGCACACCACCCUUGAAUUGUUUCCAUGUAGUACAACCCACACAUAAUGGAUUAGCAACAAUAUGCUAAGUCACUACAAAACACACGAUUGUUAGUAACAAAAAUCCUCAUGACGGGAAAGGAACUGUCACCUAAAAUCAUUUUCCGUGAUGGUGGUUGUCACAAACUAAUGCCGGCCCGGGCAUCUUAGGUGAUGGUCCGGUCUGAUUUUAGGUGACGCUUUCCAGUGUCACAAGACAUAUGCAUGUUCGGUGAAGAUUUUUAGUGUCACCAAUAUCUUGGAUGGGUUAGUGAAGGAAAUAUAUAAAUAGAAAAAAAUUGGUCUAUGAAAUUCGAACUCGUGACCUCCCACAUUUGUGCAUGUAGGACUCAAAGUUUGGUCGCUAGGCUAGUGUUUAAUUAGUGAUAAUACUUUGUAGCUCUAUUUUUAGUAUGUAGAAUGGGACUACAUGUACAUUUCAAUGAAAUAAAUAAAACAAAAAACACCUUACCUUGAGACUAGUCUAAUUAAAAAGAAGACCCCACAUGUCAUGUCUUAUUUUGAAACCUCCAAAGGAAAAAUAGGUGUUAUUAAUGAGGCCUCAACCAUGGCCAUGGGCCUCAUGUGAAGAGAGAGAGGUUUAUUACUGGGCUAGUGUUUUAUGAGUGGUAACUUUGCAGCUCAAUUCUUUUGUAGUAUUUCCAAUGGCACUACAUGUGCAUUUCCGUGAAAAAUAAAAAAAAUCGUGUUCACUUGAAACUAUUCUAAUUAAAAAGUGGACCCCAUCUGUCUUGUUUUAUUUGAAAAGUAGGUGCUACAUAUGGGAUUUGAACCCUUGUCAUGGGACUCAUGUGGAGAGACAAAACACUAGCCAUUUUAUAUAUGUUGCCUUGGUGUUGAAAUAAAUGAAGUUGCCCUACUUGGGUGCAUAUGUUACUAAGACGUGCAGGGUUUCGGCCUCAAGGCGGCUUCAAAAUGAAAAAGUUCUCAGCAUGAAAGUUUUUCGCCUCGUCGAAGCGAACAACAUAGCUUUUUCAUCACCUUAAUCUGGUAUCACAUGCAAUCUCCACAGCCGAUACAAUGUGAAAACUUUUGACCUAUGUGAAAUUCUGGACACACUUGUCCGAAUUUGAAAAACAUUUGCUUACACGAUAUCGAUACUUUUGCAUGUGCUCAUCUCAUGGCUUAGGAGAUAGGUGAAAAGUCACAUGAGAGUUACUAAAACUCUCAAUGUACUUUUCUUUGACUGGGUGGAUCUACUAGGAUGUUUCUUAGACAUUCAAGACAAAUUAUGAUGUUUCCAAUAACCAAUUGUUCUGUUUGUACAUGUAACUUUAAAAAUGGACUGGACCAUGUACUUCAUCAUUACUACUGAUAAAUUUAGCUUCAUAUUGCCAUUUGUCAAGUCAUACAAUGAUUUUCCUACUUUUUAAAUGUCUAAAAAUGAGUACGUUAAGCACAAUGUAAAAAUGUUUAUAAACCAUGAACUAAACCAUGUAUUACAGAUACUUUCUAGUUUUGAUAUUUUUCUAGAUCUCAAUUUCAAUUUUAAGGCUUUAAAUGCAUUUUCUAUGCAUUUUUCAUCAAAAAUAGCAACCACCCAAGUUCUGAUAAAAAAUGUGAACAUUUGCAUCGACUGAUAUUAUUCGUUUAGGAUAUAGGUGAAAAGUUUGGUGAUAUUUAAAAGUAAUCUUGUACUUUGCUUUGUAAUGGGUCGAUCUACUAGGAUAAUUCUUAGACAUUCAAGUCAAAUUAUGAGGUUACUAAUGAAAAAUGAUUUUAUAUGUACAUGUAACUUUAUUUUAUAGUGGACCAUGCCAUGAAGUUCAUCGAUAGUAUUGAGAAACUUAACUUCAUAUUGCCACUUGUCAUAGUCACAAUUUCUUUGUCCUACUUCACAAAUACUUAGAAAUCGGUACCUUGUGAAGCACCUUGCACGGAUAUUUAUCCAACAUGUUCUAGACUUUUUGUACAUGAACUAAACAACAAAUUAGAGAUAAUUUGAAAUUUAUGGUUUUUAGAUCCCAUUUGCUACAUUUUAGAAAUGAAAUGCACUCUUUGGUUUUUUAGUCAGAAAACAGAAACCAACCAAAAACUGCUCGAAAAGUGGUAAACUUUGCAUGGGAUCAUGUACGGGUUUAGGAGUUAGGCGAUAAAGUCUCACAAGAUUUGACAAAAGUUUCCUUCUUCUUUGCUUUGUAAUGGGUGGAUCUGCUAGGAUAUUCCUUAGACAUUGAGGUCAAACUAUGAUAUUUUAAUGUCAUAUCAUUUUAUAUGUACAUGCAACUUUAAAAAUUGACUAGACCAUAUAGUUCAUCGAGAGUAUGAGAAAUUUAACUUCAUAUUGCCACUUGUCAUGUCAUAAUAUAUCUUUCCUACUUUGCAAAUACUUACAAAUAGAUACAUUGUGGAGCACCUUGUAUUAAUAUUUAUCCAUCAUGCUCUACACUUAAAAAAAUGGACUGGACCAUGAACUUUACCAUUAGUCUUUUUCAAGAUGCUCCACAUCAUUAGACUUUACCAUUAGUCUUGAAAGACAUAACUUCAUAUUAUCACUAUCAUGUCAUAAUAUGUUUUUUUGUACUUCGUAGAUGCCUAAAACCUAGUACCUUGUGGAGCACCUUUCAAAAGUAUCCAUAUGAAACACUCAUCUGCCUUCAAGCAUCUUCCUAUGCCUUCACGCGUCCGCCUCUCUCAUCUUCCUCUGCCUUCGUGUAUGAGAGCCUGAGCCUCCAGCCUAGCCUUUCCUCCUUCACCUCUUCAUGUGUUCGUCCACCGGGAGAAGGAUCUCACCCACGGAUCUGGCGCUCUUGUUCAAAUCCAGCUAGGAGAGGCCUCGGGCCACAUGCCGGCGAGGUCCCCUACUUUGUGCGGCAGGGUUGGCAUCAUCCUCGCCAUAUCCAUCUCCACCAUCCCUCCUCUCUCACCGUCACUUCAUCACCGGCGUCCUGAUCCUCAACAACAGCUUGUAGGAUCUGGCACCAGGGCAUGGAAGUUUCCAUCUCAUGAGGCCAUGGGCUCCGUGUUCAGCGGUGCGGCAACAGUCGGCGUGACAAAAAUGGCCUCUCGGGUGCGUGUGGAUCUACAUGCGGAGCUUGACAAGUUGACAUCCAGUGGUCACACCAUGCCUGAGAUGCGCCAUUCAAUGGUCGUCCGGUGCAGGAAACACAAUGGGCCGGCGAGGAGUUUUGAUUUUGUUGGCUUUGGUAUUUGGUAUUUUCUCCAUGUAUAAACCAAUGGUCAACUUAUUUAUUCAAUGAUUCUUCAUAUUAUACAUAUAUAUAUAUAUAUAUAUAUAUAUAUGAAUGGAAUGGUAUGUAUUAGGCGAAUUGCAUCAUGUCACUAGCCAGGUAAAAGAGCAUACUUUUUUGUUUUGUGAAUUGUUUACUGAUGGCGUGCUGUCAAUAAGUGCACAUCAUAGGCAUGUGUGCUCAUUUGUGAUGGUAAGAUUAAAGGCACACCACCAAUAUUCCUAUUAGUAGUGGCGUGGAGGUUGGAGGCACACCACCAAUAUGUAAAAUACUGAUGGCAAGUGGGCCACAUGCCACCAACAACCACUUAUCAGUGGCGUCAUAUCGGUGGCUAAGGCCGUGGGGCCCCUAUGCCACUAAAGUAGUUUUUGGCAUGCCAUUAGUAGGGUUUUCUAUAGUAGUGACAAUUUUUCAUGCAAUAGUCAUACAACUCAUGGGUUGGUGUGGGGCGUGCUGAUGGGUUGUUGUAGCGUUGUGAACCAUGGGCUAGGAACAACCCAACAAAAAAUAGCGCGCGAAAGAAGAGAGAAAGUUCUGGUUGCAUGCUUCAUGGGCCGGCCCAUUAUGCGGUUUUCCUGUGUCUUUUUCUAGCCGGUUAUGGGAACGUUUUAUAUCCUCCCCUAAACCGUUUUUUUUUUCACCUUUUCACUUGUUUCUUCCAUUUUAUUUUUUAUUAUUAGCAUUUUUAUUUUUAAAUUCAUGAAUAUUAAUGUGUUUUUUCUUUCGGUUUUUUUGAUUUCUUUCUUUCCACCAAUUUUUCCUAUUCAGUUUUUCCAUUUUCAAAUUCCGAAGAAUUUUUGAAAUUAGCAAACCUUUUUGAAUUCAUGAAUAUUUUCUAAAAUUCACAAACAUUUUUUAAAAUUCUCUUGCUUUUAUAAAUUUGUGAACAUUUUUUCACUCAACGAACAUUUUUCAUUAUUUGGGAACAAUUUCAAAAUUCAUGAAGAUUUUUCAAAUUUGCAAGCUUUUUCGAAAUCCAUGUAAAUUUUCAAAUUCAUGAACACUUUUUUGAAUUUAUGAACAAAUUUUGAAUUGGAGAACAUUUUGUUUGAAAUUAAUGACCUUUUUGUAUUCCUGGAUAGUUUUUGAAAUUCAUGAACAAUUUUCAAAUCAUCAUUAUUUUUGAAAUUAGGAAAAAAAAUAGAUUCAUGAUAUUCUUUGAAUUUUGACCGUUUUAAGACUUCAUGGACAUUUUAUGAAAACCCUAGAGAUUUUUUAAAUCAUGGACUUUUCUCGAAAGUCAGAACAUUUUUUAAAUCCUCAAAAAAUUUGAAAUUGAGAACUGUUUGUGAAAUUUCAAAUAUUUUUAAAAAUUAUUCAUGAAAAAAUUGAAUAAAAAGAAAAAACAAAAAAAGAAAGAACAAAAAUGAAAUAAGACAAGAGCGGCCAGGCCGCACAUGAGCUGGCCUAAUGCGCGAUGGGUGAGCUGUGGGGUGCGCGAUUUGUGGCUAUCUGCCGACGCACACGACAAAUACAAGCUCCUGUUUGGGCCAUCCUUUUUCGAGCUAUUUUGGUCCUGGUUUUCCCAAAAGGAAGAGAGGAAAGAAAAGGAAAUGAGCGAACGGCCCAAGAGAAAAUUCAAAAGAGGGAAGAAAGCGUUCUGGCCAUGGUAUAUGUGGCAUGGUUCGUUGAGGUUUAAAAGAUGAAACAAUAAUAAAAUAAAAAUGGCCUCGAAAAAUAUGAUUAAAUUAAACUAAACAUGAAGAUUCCAAUAAAAUAGCAGUUAGGGUCAGCAACCAACUUAGGGUGCUUAGGAAAUACUUUUAGCUACCAUCAAGGAUCUGGUUCAAAAACCUUAAAUCAUGCCACGAGGUGACCUGGUUGUCCAGGACUCUUUUUUCAGUCUACAGCCUGACCAUGUCUAUGGUGCCCUCUAAGAUUAGCAGAUGCGGAAAUUUUCCUUCCUAAUGUGUCUCAUCCCCAUCAUGUAUGGAGGCCACCGUCUAUCAUUAUCUCCCCUUAUUUCCUUUGAGUCUCCUAUCUUGAUUCAUUCCUAUUAGGAGGGGUUCCUAUUACCCAUGUGUUACCUGUUAAGAUGUGGUAUGUGGAUUGUGUAUGUAAAACGGUGGUCACUACAUAGCACACAUAUUCACACAAAAUGUCUAUCUACACAAAUAAUGUAAUUACCCACACAAUUGCCUAGACAUCACUAUUUAUACCAAGAGCACUAGCUACCAGUUUCAAUACUAUAGAUGAAGUUCUAUAAUUGGUAGCAGGGCUAGGCCCACCUACCCAACAACCUAAGAGAUUCUUUUCGAGCCUCGUAAUAAUUGUAGUUCAAUUACGUUCUUGUACAAUGUUGCAUCUAAUUCUCCCUUCUCGUAUUUUAUUAACAAACCAUUUGCUAAUUUCAAUUCAAUGGCUGAAAAACAGGAUCAACUCAUCAUGGAAAGAAAAUAACUCUAUCGGGCCAUGAUGUGCACGCUGGUUAAUUAAGCCUUCAAACACUUUUGUGCACUCAUCAAUAGAUUCGAAAAUAACUAAAGGCAUGCCCAUGCUUGAAAUACUGCUCGCAUCGCCGGAGGGGUGGGGGUUGAGGCGGCUCAGGUGAAACCCUAGCUGCCCCCACCAUGUCACCUCCUUUCCUCACCUCCAUCGUCACCUUCAAAUGACGCAAGUGGGCAAUGUCCUCUCGGCCGGCGAUAAUGGCGGUGAUGCCUUCAUGUGCGGUAAUCUCUCGCACAAGGAGCUCUCCAGUCAUGCGGUGCGGUGAUCUCAGAGGUUGUGACAUAUUCAAUGGAGCUUGGGUGUCGCAGCAACAUCCCGGGGUGCCCUAAGUUGUUGUGAUGCCACUAUGUUGUGUCGGAGGCGGCCGUUGGCGCGGGAGGCCGCGUGUGAUGAUGGGCCUUUGUGCUUUGAUCUGGCAACGGCACCUCGUGGACUAGUCGGUAGUGGCAACAACAAAGCGACAACGGUGGCGGUGACACAAACACAUGCAUAGGAAGGUCGGGGUGAUGCGGCUAAGGCUUGUCGCAACCACAAAGUUGUCGCCAUGUCUCUGCACUAUUGUCCCCGUCUCCUCAGCACCUGAUUUUUGAAGCAAGUGCGCGUAAGAAGGAUUCUGGUGAUGUUUGGCUCUCUCUGUUUUGUGAGAGUUUUAUGCUCGCAUGCACAGAUUCGAUCAUGUGGUGAUAUCUACGCUAAGGAUGUGCACACGAGCGGCUACCUUUGAGCGUGAGUUCCAUCAAAUGGUUGGGAUAUUGAUUUUCGUUACCAUGGUGUGUCGAUAUCUUUCCAUGCAGUUUCUUCUUCGGCAAAGGGUUGUCUGCAACACAUGGUGUCUUUGGAUUGGUGCACUACAAAAAAAAGACACAUCCGUGAUGAUACGCCUUUGUCAGGGUAGAUCACAUUUUCUGUCACUCAUGUAUAUCCGUGACGGUUUUAUGAAAAAUCAUGAUAGCCAUACUUGUGCUGUCGAGGAUGUGUUACAUGACAAAAUCACUUUAUUAUCAUGGAACUGUCCACUUCCAUGAGAUUAAGGGCCUGUACUGAAGUCCUCCCACUCCACGCUUCUCCAACUUCAGAUGUGGAGUCGGACAGAACGUUUGAGCUCCGUGGAGUCAGCUUUAGGGCUUGUUUGGGACUGCUCCGCUUCACUAAAAUCAGUUUCACUCCAUCAAAUUCACUUUAGAGCAGUUUCAUACAGAAGUUAUGCAUACCAAAGAGAAUGUUUGGCUUCCAUGUAGCUCCAGCUUCAAGAAUGGAAAAUUUGGUGAAAAGGAAAUAUUUGAUUGGAUGAGAGGGGAGAAACGAAGGGGUAUCCACUUACUGGUGGCAGUGGUGGGUAAUUUCCCCCCAACUCCAGCUUCUAGAGUUUUUUGAAGCACCCCCUCAAGAGCUUCAUAAAAAACUGGGAGUUGUACCCCAGAUUCUAGUUUUUUUGUGAGCGGCAUAUCGUGGAGCUACCCUGUUUGGCUAAUGUUUUCUGAAGCGUAGCUGAAUUUUAAGAAGCAGAGCAGUCCCAAACAGGCUCUUAAGAAGCGGUACAAGUCUGUAGUGCAAAUUUCUGAAGCUGCUAAAGCCCAGCUUCACAAAACAAAGAAGCGAGGAGCUCCUACUAAUUACAAGAGGAUGCCACCGCGAAGUAUAGAAAACGAUUCGCGAAACGGCUCCCAGCCGCUCGUGGUAUGCUCGCCUCGCUAGUUUCCUGUGCGAGCGCACGUGGCCAGCCCUCCUCCACACAACGAUACAAGGUGGACUGCCUCCAUCCGGCCCAAACUGGCACCCAACAGGCUCCCAGCUAGGACAAAUCGUGAAGAGAAGCUACAAACACUGUUGAACGAAUGGAAUCGCCAGGUGAAGUUCGAAGCAAGCUCCAGAAGCUGGUUUUGUGGAGUUUGAGAAGCCCAAAGAGGUUCAGAAUAGGCUCUAAAUAGCACAUCAUAAUUAUAUUCGUGAAGGGUUACCAAAAUCUGGCAGUGAUAUGUCUCCAACGUAUCUAUAAUUUUUUACUGUUCCAUGAUGUUAUAUUAUCAUUAUUGGAUGCUUUACAAUUAUUUUAUAGCAACUUUAUGUCAUUUUUUGGGACUAACCUAUUGACAUAGUGCCCAGUGCCAGUUGCUGUUUUUUGCUUGUUUUGUACUUCGCAUGAAAUCAAUAUCAAACAGAGUCCAAACACAGCGAAACUUUUUCGAGAAUUUUUAUGGACCAGAACACCCAGGAUGGGCCAGAGAAGUACUAGAGGGGUGCCCUGAGGGGGGCACAACCCACCUGGACGCGCCUGGGGGCCCAGGCGCACCCUGGUGGGUUGUGCCCACCUCGGUGGCCCCCCACACUUCCUCUUCGCCCUAUAAAUUGUCAAAUAUUAAAAAACCAAGGGUACCCCCUAGAUCGGAAGUUCCGCCGCCGCAAGGCUCUGUAGCCACGAAAAACCAAUCUAGACCCCGUUCCAGCACUCCGCCGGAGGGGAAAUCAUCACCGGUGGCCAUCUUCAUCAUCCCGGCGGCCACCAUGAUGAGGAGGAAGUAGUCCACCCUCGGGGCUGAGGGUUUGUACCAGUAGCUAUGUGUUUAAUCUAUCUCUCUCUCGUUCGCUCGCUCUCUCUCUCUCUCCCCCUCUCGUGUUCUUGAGAUGGCAUGAUCUUGAUGUAUCGCGGGCUUUGUUAAUAUAGUUGGAUCAUAUGGUAUUUCUCCCUCUCUAUCCUGUUGUGAUGAAUUGAAUUUUCCCUUUGAGAUUUUGUUUUAUCGGAUUGAAUACUUUUAUGGAUUUGAGAGCACUUGAUAUAUGUCUUGCAUAUGAAUACUCGUGGUGACAAUGGGGUAUUAUAUUGAUUCAAUUGAGAUAUGUUUUGGCACUCAACUCGUGGAUUCUCGAGGUGACAUUGGGGUAAUCUAUGCAUAGGGGUUGAUGCACGUUCUCGUCUUUUGUUUCUCCGGUAGAAAUCUUGGGGCACUCUUUGAGGUUCUUUGUGUUGGAUUGAGUAUUAUGAAUCUGAAUUUGCUUUGGUGUUAUUUUAGUACGAACUCUUGAUAGAUCGAUCGGAAAGAAUAACUUAAUGUCAUUUUAGUACGAACUCUUGAUAGAUCGGUCGGAAAGAAUAACUUGGUGUUAUUUUAAUACGAAGUCUUGGAUAGAUUGAUCGGAAAGAAUAGCUACAAACAAUUUUUUUCUUAUGUUCCCCGCUAGAUAAGAACUUUGGAGUGAUUCUUCAUCACACGUUGAGGGAUGGUUAUAUGAUCCAACUAGAUUAGCAUUGUUGAAAGAUUGCACUAGCUAAAGUACGGACCCUAGGCCUCAUUUUCAAGCAUUGCAAUACCGUUUGUGCUCCGUUUUAUCAAUUGCUACUUUGCUGUUUUUUAUUGUUCCUAUUAUAAAAAACCAAUAUCUACUAUCAUUACUACGCUUUUAUUACCAUCUCUUCGCCUAACUAGUGCACCUAUAAAAAUUACCAUUAUAUUUGGUGUGUUGGGGACACAAGAGACUCUUUGUUAUUUGGUUGCAGAGUUGUUUGAGAGAGACCAUCUUCAUCCUACGCCUCCCACGGAUUGAUAAACCUUAGGUCAUCCACUUGAGGGGAAAUUGCUACUGUCCUACAAAACUUUGCGCUUGGAGGCCCAACACGACUCUACAAGAACAAGUUGUGUAGUAGACAUCAGGCAGCAACUGUAAUGGGUCAUCACUAAGCUAUCAGGUGCGGGUUCCAGAUCCAAUACCAGUUAACAACCCCGACCAAUGACAAAUUUCCACAUGUUGGCUUCUCAUUUGUCAACGGAGCCACGCGUCAACUCUUCCUUGUGAUAGGUGUCACUCAUCCAACGGAUGAUAUGCGCCUAUGAAACGAAGACACAUGGCAUGGCCCAACAUUGGCCAGUUAUAAUGGCCAGCCCAGUAGGAGGCCCACAAGAUUUGGGCACAACUUAGCGGGUCAGCCCACUAACAACCCUCUUGCAGAUAGCUCAAUUACAACUCUAGUCCAUACAUCCUAGUGACAAUUCGGUGCGUCACCGCCCCGUUGGGUCUUCAGCAUCAUUACGACCCUUUGGUAGUUCUGGCCCAUUAACAACCAGCUUUGUCUUUGGCCCAAUUAUGACCCAUUGUGUCUUCCAGCCUAUUAAAGGCAUGUGGUAGACUCAGACUCAUUUGCUGCCCAAUGUUUCUUUCGGCCUGUUAGCGGCUCGUGGUGGAAUUGAACCGUUUUCUAUGUGAUGUGUCUUUCGGCCUAUUAAUGGCCUAGGGUACACUUGGGCCCAUUUACAACCCGAUGUGUCUUUCGGUCUGUUAAUGGACCAAGGUACACUUGGGCCCAUUUGUUUUCCGAAGUGACUUUCGGCCUGUUAAAUACACAUGGUAUAUUUUGGCUCAUUAAUAACAUGAGUUGGCUUUUGGACUAUUAAUUGUUUGUGAUGUAGUUUGGCCAAUUAAGGCCUGAUUUCAUUAUCGGCUUGUUAAUUGUCCGUUGUCUUGUUGGUACGAUAUGCCUUUUGGACUGUUAAAGGCCCGUGGUAUCUUCUGGCGCAUUUUAACAACCCAUGGUGUGUUUGGGCUAAAUGUGGCCCGAGGUUUAUUCGGCCUGUUCACAGGUACUGGUGCGUUUGGUCCGGCCAUACAUUUCGGCUUGCUAAUAGUUCAAACUGAUUAUGGGCUCAUUUAAAUCCCAUAGACCGUGUCGGCCCAUGAAUGGCUCGUGAUGAUUUUGGCCAAGUUAGAUUGACCGAUACUAUUUUGUAGUUGCGUUAGGACAAUUCGAACUGAUUAUGGGCCCAUUUAAAGCUCCCGCUUCAAGUUCAUGCGAUAGCACAUCGACCUUCUGAUUGUUAGGUUACCAAAAUUGUGGUGCUCGUGCCCUGGUUUGUGUGUUUAGCUCUUUCUGAUUUGUCUUCUGAUUUGUUUCUAUUGGUGGGAGGGAUGCAAACUCGAUAAUGGCAAUGGCGGUCAUUCACCGGGGUGAUAAUGUUCUCAGUUUUAUGUUUGUUGUCAUAUUUCUUAGAUUUUGAAUUUCGUGAUGGUGAUUACUCAAUAGUUUUUUAGUUCGUUAAUCAUUUACUGAUAAUUUUUCAGUCCCAUUUAGCAUAUUAGUUUGUAAGAUGAUUAAUAGUUUUUCACAUUUUCUUAUUUCAGUCUGUGUUCAGUUCAUCAAUUAUCAGUUAAACUAGAUUUCAGUUUGUAGUGUUUUACUUUUGAUUUUUAGUCUUUGUUUAUUUUUGAGUCUUAAUUUUUCAGGCUUGUAUGUCUAUGUCUUAGUCAUAGUUCUUUUUUCAGUUAGCAAGCUGAUGAAUAGUCAGUUAGUUUUCAAUUUAGGUCAUUAGUCAUUACUUAUUAGCCAUGUUUAGUCAUCUAUUAGUUAGUUCAUCAGUAUCUUCAGUUAGUCAAGUGUGUUCAAAUUAUCAGCUCAUUUCAUUUAAUCUAACCUUCACUCGUUGUAUAGGUUAUCAUUGUAUUUAUUUUCAGUCUUUCAUCUUCUUCGAGUUGAUCAGUCCAUAUUGUCUCCCUUAAUAGUUAAGUUAUUUAGUCAUCUAUCAAUUACACUGGUAGAAAAUGGGCCUUUAGUCCCGGUUCGCAAAGGCCUUUAGUCCCGGCUGUGCAACCGGGACUAAAUAUGCGCGACUAAAGACCCCCCCCCUUUAGUCGCGCCUCUUACGAACCGCGACUAAAGGCCCGUCCACGUGGGCGCCAGGGGUCCGUCGGGGCGGAGGACCUUUAGUCCCGGUUCUCGUGGCUAACCGGGACUAAAGGCCCGUCCACGUGGGCGCCAGGGGUCCGUCGGGGAGGAGGACCUUUAGUCCCGGUUCUCGUGGCUAACCAGGACUAAAGGCCUCCUCCGCAGGUUUAGGGUUUUAGCCCCCCUAAACCUGGUUUCUUUUUAAUUUGUAGUGUUUUAUUUCUUUUAUAUUUUAUUUUGUGUUUUAUUUUAAUUUUGAUGAAGUUUCAGUACACAUAUUCUACGCUACUAUAUACAUGCAUAUGAAAUUUCAAACAAGAAGAAUUCAAGAGGAAUAUAUAAUAUAUAUUCAAUCUCGGGUGACCAUAUACAACUUCGAACAAGUUUCCAUACACAAUUAGGAUGGAUGACCAUAUACAACUUCGAACAAGUUUAAAUCUCGGGUAUGCAUAUAAAUUUCUUCGUCCUCGGUAUAGUGUUCUCCUUUAGGAUUGAUGACUUCCCUCAUGAAAAAUCCUGCUAAUUCAUCUUGAAUUGGUCGGAAGCGAGCUUCUGGACUAAGCCUCCUCCGCAAGUUAUCCGUCGCCUUCCGCACGCUAUCCGAUGCCUUCCGCUCAGAGGUGUGUCUCCGGAUGUUCUCACAAACAUAGUAUCCACAUAGAUUGGUCCCCGGUGGCUGCUUAUCCACACUAACUAACCUUCUAAAAUCUAGCUCAUGUUUGAAUUCACCGACAAUUUCUUCUGAGAACUGUCUCCAAACCCUACAGGGCAAAGAAAAUUAAAUGAACAAGGGAGUUAUUAGUUACUUGAUAUUAGGAAAUGAACGAAAGAGACCGAUCGAUAUAGAGCUCAAAUGAUUGAAAAUAAUUACUUUUGCAGCAGUUUUCUCAUGUCGGCCCAACGCUUUGGAUCCGAAUCCAUAGAGUCCAUGAUUAGAACUCUGGAGGUGUGAAGUUCAAUAUUUAGCAGAAUCCAGUGGAACCUGCGGACACGUUACAUGCACAGUCAUGCAUAACUCAUCGAUUAGACAUACCAUGCAUGGAGUAAACACAAGAGAAUGGGCACAAGAGAGAAACACUCACCCAAAAUGGUAAGGAAAUAGAAUAUGACUUUUGAGUUGAUGCUUUCUAAGAAACUUGUACAAGUCUUUCUCCACGUCUUCGGGGUGAUUUUGUAACACAUGUCCAUUAACGAUAUGUGGGUCAAUGAACCCAACAUCAUGGAUGUUUCUUAUUUUGCAUUCCCAAAUCUUCAAUCUGCAUAAUAGCGUACGCAACAAUAUAGUUAGGACAAUAUAUAUAUAUAUAUAUAUAUAUAUAUANNNNNNNNNNCAACGCUUUGGAUCCGAAUCCAUAGAGUCCAUGAUUAGAACUCUGGAGGUGUGAAGUUCAAUAUUUAGCAGAAUCCAGUGGAACCUGCGGACACGUUACAUGCACAGUCAUGCAUAACUCAUCGAUUAGACAUACCAUGCAUGGAGUAAACAAAAGAGAAUGGGCACAAGAGAGAAACACUCACCCAAAAUGGUAAGGAAAUAGAAUAUGACUUUUGAGUUGAUGCUUUCUAAGAAACUUGUACAAGUCUUUCUCCACGUCUUCGGGGUGAUUUUGUAAGACAUGUCCAUUAACGAUAUGUGGGUCAAUGAACCCAACAUCAUGGAUGUUUCUUAUUUUGCAUUCCCAAAUCUUCAAUCUGCAUAAUAGCGUACGCAACAAUAUAGUUAGGACAAUAUAUAUAUAUAUAUAUAUAUAUAUAUAUAUAUAUAUAUAUAUAUAUAUAUUUAUUUAUUUAUUUAUUUAUAGUGCAGGCAAUGAAGAACGAGAUGAGGUAGAAAUAAAUCACUUACAGAACGUAGCAACUCAGCAUAGAUUUGUCGAGGUCGCGCAGAUUGAACAGCUGGAACAAUUCACUCAUAUGAACUUGUACAGAGUACCGUUUGGUGUGAUGCUCCUCUGUAACAUCCGCAUAAACAUAUUCUUUGUCGGCCCAUGUUAUGAAUUGCUUGUACCAACGUAGCAGAUUUCGCAUUUGUGGUGGUAGACUCUUUUCCCGCGCAGGCUCGACGAGAGGCCCAUUCCGCACAUAUUGUAAUGCUAUCUCACAUACUGGCGCAUCCUCAAGGCCUAAGAAGGCACGAAGAGUCAAACCCAUCUCGGACGCUUGUUUCAUGGCACUCGCUACAGUCAAUCCAAGUGCUGCCGCAGCUGCUAUGAUCUCGGGGUCCUCUUNNNNNNNNNNCACUCACCCAAAAUGGUAAGGAAAUAGAAUAUGACUUUUGAGUUGAUGCUUUCUAAGAAACUUGUACAAGUCUUUCUCCACGUCUUCGGGGUGAUUUUGUAACACAUGUCCAUUAACGAUAUGUGGGUCAAUGAACCCAACAUCAUGGAUGUUUCUUAUUUUGCAUUCCCAAAUCUUCAAUCUGCAUAAUAGCGUACGCAACAAUAUAGUUAGGACAAUAUAUAUAUAUAUAUAUAUAUAUAUAUAUAUAUAUAUAUAUAUAUAUAUAGUGCAGGCAAUGAAGAACGAGAUGAGGUAGAAAUAAAUCACUUACAGAACGUAGCAACUCAGCAUAGAUUUGUCGAGCUCGCGCAGAUUGAACAGCUGGAACAAUUCACUCAUAUGAACUUGUACAGAGUACCGUUUGGUGUGAUGCUCCUCUGUAACAUCCGCAUAAACAUAUUCUUUGCCGGCCCAUGUUAUGAAUUGCUUGUACCAACGUAGCAGAUUUCGCAUUUGUGGUGGUAGACUCUUUUCCCGCGCAGGCUCGACGAGAGGCCCAUUCCGCACAUAUUGUAAUGCUAUCUCACAUACUAGCGCAUCCUCAACGCCUAAGAAGGCACGAAGAGUCAAACCCAUCUCGGACGCUUGUUUCAUGGCACUCGCUACAGUCAAUCCAAGUGCUGCCGCAGCUGCUAUGAUCUCGGGGUCCUCUUCCGGACCGGCUUUCACUAUGAGCGGGGGGAUCGAUUGUUUAUUCUGCAUCCCGAGCUGGUCAACUUGUUUCCCGCUUUUUUUACUUUCUUCUUUCUCCUCCUUCAAUAUUUUUGCUUGCCUACGAAGUUCAUGUCCAUAGUCGUCAGGCAUAUUCAGCUCGGCUUGGGACGGUGUCGUCAAAAAAUCCUUAGCCCACUUCUUUUGCUUCUCAGUGAAUACUUGCUUGGGCUCAGGCUCUUUUAUCGCCUUCAUAUCCGCCUUCCAUUUCUCAUAAUGAGCAGACGCGGCCAAUUUGGUUUCAGCUUCACUAAGUUCCCAAGGCCUUGGGAGGAGAGGCUUCAGUGAUGGCUCCGGUACCCUUGUGGUCUUAGGUACAUAAGGGUCCGGGUUAAUAGUCCAGGAGCGGGUUUCCUUGCUAUCCGCCUGCUUCUGCUUCUUCGCCGGAGGUGGAUUGGGGGGCGUCGUACCCGCCGGAGGAGGAUUGGCGGGCGUCGUACCCGCCGGAGGUUGUGGAUCGGGGGACGGCGUCGAAUGGCGUGAAGGAGGUGUAGGUGAACCACCACGACCACCACCACCGCCACCACCACCACCACCACCAUCGGAGGGGGGUGGACUUGUUAGCCUUGGCGCCUCGCCUGGAAACACUAUGUACUUCUUUUUCCAUAGAAUGAUCUGGCGCUUGACAUCUCCAAGUCUUCUCUCUCCUUCGGGUGUAGCUUUGUCAAUCUCCAGGUCCUCAAACCCUUGGACUAUGUAUUCCACCGUGACACGAGCAUAGCCAUAUGCAAUGGGGUUGUUGUGGUGGAGUGCUCCAGGUGUACAGGGUAAAGCACUGCCGCUAGCUACCUUCGUGGAAACGUUCCCCACGGGAUAAUGCAGAUCACAUUCUUUCAUCUCCUUUACAUCAUCCACGGGGUAGUGAGGCUCCGGUGCACGAAUCUCGAUCAUCAGUGCACUAGCACCAGGCGGGGCAUCCGUGGAAGCCACGCUGCUUCUCCGCUACUGGCUUCCGCGAUCCGCUUCAUGAUCUUCAUGCGGCCCUGCAGCCGAUUUUUCUUUUACUAGUUCAUGCACGGUCGGCUUCAACUCAUGGAGUUCCGAUGCAAACUUCGCCAUAAGAUCUGCAUCCCGGUCCGUCUUUCUCUUACGGCUUCUGUAACAGUACGGGUCAUUGUCCUGGGAAAACCCUACUUUCCACGGAACUUUGCCUUUGCCUCGUACACGUCCUCCGUGUUCAUCAUUCCCGAGGGCUGUUGUCAGUGCGUCUUUCUCUCUGUUGAACUUGAUCAAGCCCUCUUGAGCUUGGAUCAUUGCGUCAAUAAGGGCUUGGGUGGGAGCAAACUUUUUCUUCCGGUGAACACACAACCCUGUCUCCGGGUCUAGUGAUCCCCCAUGCCCGUACCACCAGCUUUUGGCCCUUGGGUCCCAUCCCUCUGUACCUAGAGGGAUUCCUCGCACCCUCAGGUCCUCCUCCAUCUUCUGCCACUUAGACUCCGAAAGGCGGUAUCCUCCUGGCCCCAUAAUAUGAUGGAACUUUUUCUUACUCGCAUUAUCCUUAUUUUUUUCGAUAUUUCCUUGAAAUGCUCCGAUUGCUUUUGCCUCACAAAUUCUGGCCAAUCAUCUUUCAGUUUCUCAUGUAGUCCAUUGAAAUCCGGAGUCUUGCCCUUGUUGACAUAGUCACGGGUUAAAUUUUUCUUGAAGUUCCGGAAUGCUUCGCCCAUCUUCUGAAAAGCGAACUCUUUAACUAGCCUCCUCCUCUCACGUCCACCCGGAACCUCGUUACCAAAUUCAUCGACUUUGUUGUAUUCCGGAGGUAGAAUGAAAUGUUCCAUAGCUUUCUCCAGCAAUCCUUUUUCGUUCUCUUGUCGACAAAACUGAAACCAAGACGUGCCUUCUUUGGCUCCUUCCAUUCCUGGACGGUGAUCGGGACGUUGUCUCUAACAACGACUCCGCAUUGGUUGAUAAACUUUGAGGUGUGCUGUAGGGGCUUGCCGGUUUCACUGACAAACUCAAUGGCAUAUGUUUCUCCUGUUUUCAUCGCCUUGGAUUUGCCACGCUUUGUCGUACUCGAUCCGGCCGAGGGCUAAAAAAAGAAAGAGAGUCGCGCGCAUUAAUACAUAUGUAUUCACAUUUCAGUAAGUUUGUAUCACGAGAGGCUCAAUGUAUAUAUAUACCUCGCCGGAGGUGGUUGCUACUUGCAAUUCGAGAUCGUCGUUUGUUGACGGUUGACCUCCGUCGACAAUGUCCGUUCCUCCACCUUCUUGAUCAUCGACAAUGUCUGUUCCACCGUCAAGGUUCAGAAAAGAAGAGACUACAUCCUCUUCUUGCUCAUAUUCUGAGCCCGGCACAUAAGGAAUCUCGUUGUUUAUGAUGCCCAUUAAAUAACGUUCAGCCUCCGGAUCCCUAAGCGGCUCGGCUCUAUCGUCCGCCAUAUGUCACUCCUGCAUGUAGUAAAAAUUAAUUAAGUAUAAAGGAAUUAAAAAAUAAGAUUAAGGAGACAUAGAGGAGGAGGAAUUAAAAAAUAAGAUUACUGAGCACUGCCAAGUAUUUUGUUUUUCCUUUUCUUUUUCCUUUUCUUAUUUUCUUUUUCCUUUUCUUAUNNNNNNNNNNNNNNNNNNNNNNNNNNNNNNNNNNNNNNNNNNNNNNNNNNNNNNNNNNNNNNNNNNNNNNNNNNNNNNNNNNNNNNNNNNNNNNNNNNNNNNNNNNNNNNNNNNNUUCUUCUUCCUUUUCUUCUACCUUUUCUUCUUCCUUUUCUUUUUCCUUUUCUUCUUCCUUUUCUUCUUCCUUUUCUUCUUCCUUUUCUUUUUCCUUUUCUUAUUUUGUUUUUCUUGGUUUUCAUUGGUUUUCUUUGUUUCUUUCUCGAUUUUCUUGAUUUCAUUCCUUUGCAUUGGUUUCUUUUGUUUUGUUUUCUUUGUUUUUCUUUUUGGUUUUCAUUGGGUUUCUUUGUUAUUCCUUAUCUUUUGUCGAUUUUAUCGGUUUCUUUUUGCUUCAACACGUGUUAACUUUUUCAACCUUUUUCUUAUACAUCAGAAAGAUUUUCAUAUAUACAUUUAACAUUUUUAAACACAUGAUUAAGUUUUUUUUGAAAACUUAUUUUUUUGGAUGUAUGGGUUUUUUUCAUACACACUGUACAUUUUUGGCAUAUAUCUAAUACAUUUUCCUAAUACAUGUUUAACAUUUUCCUAAUACAUGUUUAACAUCUUCCAAACACAUUUUAAUAUUUUUUGAACACAUGGUCAACAUUUUUCCUUCGUUUGUGGAGGCGGCGGCGGGAGGCGGAGGACGGCAGGCGGCGACGGGAGGCNNNNNNNNNNNNNNNNNNNNNNNNNNNNNNNNNNNNNNNNNNNNNNNNNNNNNNNNNNNNNNNNNNNNNNNNNNNNNNNNNNNNNNNNNNNNNNNNNNNNNNNNNNNNNNNNNNNNNNNNNNNNNNNNNNNNNNNNNNNNNNNNNNNNNNNNNNNNNNNNNNNNNNNNNNNNNNNNNNNNNNNNNNNNNNNNNNNNNNNNNNNNNNNNNNNNNNNNNNNNNNNNNNNNNNNNNNNNNNNNNNNNNNNNNNNNNNNNNNNNNNNNNNNNNNNNNNNNNNNNNNNNNNNNNNNNNNNNNNNNNNNNNNNNNNNNNNNNNNNNNNNNNNNNNNNNNNNNNNNNNNNNNNNNNNNNNNNNNNNNNNNNNNNNNNNNNNNNNNNNNNNNNNNNNNNNNNNNNNNNNNNNNNNNNNNNNNNNNNNNNNNNNNNNNNNNNNNNNNNNNNNNNNNNNNNNNNNNNNNNNNNNNNNNNNNNNNNNNNNNNNNNNNNNNNNNNNNNNNNNNNNNNNNNNNNNNNNNNNNNNNNNNNNNNNNNNNNNNNNNNNNNNNNNNNNNNNNNNNNNNNNNNNNNNNNNNNNNNNNNNNNNNNNNNNNNNNNNNNNNNNNNNNNNNNNNNNNNNNNNNNNNNNNNNNNNNNNNNNNNNNNNNNNNNNNNNNNNNNNNNNNNNNNNNNNNNNNNNNNNNNNNNNNNNNNNNNNNNNNNNNNNNNNNNNNNNNNNNNNNNNNNNNNNNNNNNNNNNNNNNNNNNNNNNNNNNNNNNNNNNNNNNNNNNNNNNNNNNNNNNNNNNNNNNNNNNNNNNNNNNNNNNNNNNNNNNNNNNNNNNNNNNNNNNNNNNNNNNNNNNNNNNNNNNNNNNNNNNNNNNNNNNNNNNNAUCAAAAAAUUCAGAAAAAUAAAACUAAUUCAUUUUAAAACCUUAAAAAUACAAAUAAUAUAUCAAAAAAUUCAGUUCAUCGAUCCCUUGAAGGUUUGACAAAAGGUUUGAUACAUCAUUCAGUUCAUCGACCAAAUACAAAUCAUCCGGAUUCGCCAUCGUACGUUUUAAUUCACAUGAUCCAUUCAACAAAGUUUGGUACAAUACAUUAUUACACAUCAAUUCCUCCCUUGUGUCCCUGCUUGCUUACGAUUGUGCCGUAUCCAUGGAGCAUCCUCAUCAUUUAACUUAAUGCUUGGGUCAGUGUUCACUUUGAAGGACAGAAUUUCACCAAACAUAUUAUAAUCUUCUGACAUGUCUGUCUUGUCCUCCACUCCCACGAUGUUUCUUUUCCCUGAAAGAACAAUGUGGCGCUUUGGAUCAUCGCAUGAUGUACUGAUCGUUUUCUUAUCUUUCUGUUUCCUCGGUUUGCUACUCAUGUCCUUCAAAUAAAAAACCUGAGCGACAUCUUUGGCAAGGACGAAGGGUUCGUCAAGGUAACCAAGAUUGUUGAAAUCCACCAUUGUCAUUCCGUAUUGCUCGUCCAUCUUUACCCCACCUCCUGUUAGCUUGAACCAUUUGCACCGGAACAAAGGGACCUUAAAGGAGGGUCCAUAGUCAAGUUCCCAUAUCUCCUCUAUGUAACCAUAAUAUGUGACCUUUUGCCCAUUCUCGGUUGCUGCAUCAAAGCGGACACCACUGUUUUGGUUGGUGCUCUUUUUAUCUUGGGCGAUGGUGUAAAAUGUAUUCCCAUUUAUCUCGUACCCUUGGAAAAUCGUUAUAGUCGAAGAUGGUUUCUUGGCCAACAUGUACAGCUGAUCUCUAACAUCAUUGUCAUUCAUUAAAUGUUUUCGCAAUCAACUGCCGAAAGUCUCCAUGUGGGCCUUUCUAAUCCAGGAUUCAGGCUUCCCCGGGUUGUUCGAGUGUAAAAUAUUCUUGUGUUGCUCGAAGAACGGAGCCACCAAGCUGGAAUUUUGCAGAACUGUGUGGUGUGCUUCAGUCAUAGAAUGACCGUCCAUACAUAUCGUUGAUUUCCUUCCGAUCGUGCCUUUUCCACUUAGUCUCCCCUCGUGCCGCGAUUGAGGAAUACCAAUCGGCUUAAGGUCAGGAACAUAGUCAAUACAGAACUCAAUUACCUCCUCAUUUCCAUAGCCCUUGACGAUGCUUCCUUCUGGCCUAGCACGGUUACGAACAUAUUUCUUUAAUAUUCCCAUGAACCUCUCAAAGGGGAACAUAUUGUGUAGAAAUACAGGACCGAGAAUGGAAAUCUCUUCGACUAGGUGGAGCAGGAGGUGCGUCAUAAUAUCGAAGAAGGAUGGUGGGAACACCAACUCGAAACUGACAAGGCAUUGGACCACAUCGUUCUGUAACCGUGGUAGAUCUUCUGGAUUGAUUACCUUCUGAGAGAUUGCAUUGAGGAAUGCACAUAGCUUCACAAUGGCUACUCGAACAUUUUCCGGUAGGAGCCCCCUCAAAGCAAUCGGAAGCAAUUGCGUCAUAAUCACGUGGUAGUCGUGAGACUUCAGGUUUUGGAACUUUUUCUCCGCCAUGUUUAUUAUUCCCUUUAUAUUCGACGAGAAGCCAUACGGGACCUUCAUACUGCUCAGGCAUUCAAAAAAAAUGACCUUCUCUUCUUUGGUAAGAGCGUAGCUGGCACGACCUUGAAACCAUUCCGGAUGCCGGCCAUCUGGGUCUUUCAAAAGUUGCUGGUCCUGCCGUGCUUCCUUUGUAUCAUUUGUCUUCCCAUACACGCCCAAGAAGCUUAGCAGGUUCACGGAAAUAUUCUUCGUAACAUGCAUCACGUCGAUUGCAGAGCGGACAUCUAGGACUUUCCAAUAUUCUAGCUCCCAAAAUAUAGAUUUCUUCUUCCACAUGGGUGCGUGCCCGUCAACUCCCCGCGGAACUGAUUGUCCGCCAGGACCCUUUCCAAAGAUGACUUUCAAAUCCUUGACCAUAUCAAAUAUCUCAGCACCAGUACGUUCCGCAGGCUUUGGCCGGUGAUCUGCCUUGCCGUUGAAAUGCUUGCCUUUCUUUCUUACGUUAUGAUUUCGGGGAAGAAAUCGACGAUGACCCAGGUACACGUUCUUCUUACAAUUAACCAAACGUACACUUUCAGUCUCAUGUAAGCAGUGUGUGCAUGCAUUGUAUCCCUUAUUUGUCUGUCCCGAAAGGUUACUGAGAGCAGGCCAAUCGUUGAUGGUUACAAAAAGCAACGCUCGUAGGUCAAAUUCCUCUCCUUUGUGCUCAUCCCAGACACGUACACCAGGUCUGGCCCACAACUGUAAAAUUUCAUCAACUAAUGGCCUUAGGUACACAUCGAUGUCGUUCCCGGGUUGCUUUGGACCUUGGAUGAGCACUGGCAUCAUAAUGAACUUCCGCUUCAUGCACAACCAAGGAGGAAGGUUGUAGAUGCAUAGAGUCACGGGCCAGGUGCUAUGGCUGGAGCUCUGCUCGCCAAAAGGAUUCAUGCCAUCAGUACUUAGACCAAAUCUUAUGUUCCUUGCGUCAGCUGCAAAAUCUUUGAACACUCUGUCGAUCUUUCUCCAUUGCAUUCCAUCAGCGGUGUGUCUCAACUCCCCGUCGGACUUACGGUCCUCUUUAUGCCAUCGCAACGACUUGGCAUGCUUUUUGUUCCUGAACAGACGUUUCAACCGUGGUAUUAUAGGAGCAUACCACAUCACCUUGGCGGGAACCCUCUUCCUGGGUUUCUCGCCCUCAACAUCGUCACCAGGGUCAUCGCCUCUGAUCUUAUAACGCAAUGCAGUGCAUACAGGGCAUUCAUUCAAAUUCUCGUAUUCACCGCGGUAGAGGAUGCAGUCGUUAAUGCAUGCAUGUAUCUUCAGAACCUCUAAACCUAGAGGGCAGACAACCUUCUUUGCUUCGUACGUACUGGAGGGCAACUCGUUAUUCUUCGGAAACAUGUUCUUCAACAUUUUCAGCAAAUUUUCAAAUGAUGAGUCACCUACACCUUCCUGUGCCUUCCAUUUUAGCAAAUCCAGUGUGCAGCCCAGCUUUUUCAGACUAUUAUCGCAUCCUGGAUACAACGACUUUUUGUGAUCCUCUAACAUGCGAUCCAAAUUCUCCCUAUCCUUGUCAGUUUCGCAGCGUCUCCGUGCAUCAGCAAUGGUCCGACCAAGAUCAUCAGCGGGCUCAUCAUGUGCCUCUUCUUCACCUUCACCUAACCCUUCCCCACCUUCAGCAUCAUCCUCCAUGAAAGUAUCACCGAAAUGAUCAUGAUAGUUGUCAUCGAUAUCAUCCCCUUCUUCAUCUUCUUCCAUUCUAACCCCUCUUUCUCCAUGCUUGGUCCAACAAUUAUAGCUUCGCAUGAAACCGUGCCGAAGCAGGUGCAUGUGAACGUCUCUUGAGGAGGAGUAACCCUUCUGAUUCUUACAAACAGCACAUGGACAGAUAAUAAAACCUUGCUGCUUGUUCGCAUUUGCCACUACGAGGAAAUCUUUCAAACCCGUAGUGAACUCGCCGGAGAGUCGGGGACCGUACAUCCAUUGCCGAUUCAUCUGCAUUAUUAUUAUAUAAAGUAUAUAAUUGACCAUCAUGCAUUUGUUAAACUAACUAGCUAGAAAUAAUACAAAUUAAACAAUGAACUACACACAUGCAUAUUUUAUCAAUGACACAUGAAAGGUUCAAGUUGCUAACCGCGAUCGCGAAGGAAAAAUAAAUGAGAAAGCUCAAGUGUGGCUCGGACACUUCGUAUCAUGUUUGUUUCAGGCUCUCAGGCAUUUCAUCGAACACCUUGUGUGCAUAGGAGGAACCAAAAGCAAACCCGCCACCCCCUUCUGAAUAUUGUGAAGUGAGCUGAGUGAAGUGAAGUGAGCUGAGUCCUAUAUAUAGGGAUGGGCCUUUAGUCCCGGUGGCCUGGCCAACCGCGACUAAAGGCCUUCGGGGACCUUUAGUCCCGGUUGGCCAGGCCAACCGGGACUAAAGCCCCUCCCGUCCGCCAGCUGUCGACCGAGCGCGCUGGGCCCAGAUAGUUGGUCGCGGGUCUCCUCCCGAACCGCAACUAAAGACCCCUUUGUCGCGGUUCGAUUAUUUUGGGGACUAAUGGGGGCGUAUGGAAGCCUCUUUUUCUACUAGUGUUAGUUCAUCAAUAUCACUAGUAAGUUCAAUGUGUUCUGUUCAUUAAUUAGUUCAAUUUCUUUAGUAUUCAUUUGUUUAUUCACUUCUUUAGUUUAUAUUACAUCAUUAAUUCUUAUAAUUAUCAGUGUUUUUUUUUGUUCUUUUCACAUUCUCGUUUGGUGCACUAUCUCACUACGACGAACAAUGAACUACCAUAGGUGGUAUGUAGGGGUUUUCACGAUUUCUUAGAUAUGUACUCUUCACAAAUCAUUAUUUCAUUAUGCAGGCAUGUCUAUAUAUGUAUCUUCACUCUUCACUCAUUCUAUAUUUUGUCAUUCAUUCAUCACUAUUCACUUAUCAGGACAUUUGUUUCAUCCUUUAAGUAUUUUGUUAAGUCCAUUCUCUAUUCCUUAGUCAUUUGUUCCAUUUAACUUGAUAACACAACAUUUUAUCAUCGAUUGGAACACUUUUUGUUCAUGUGUAGUUCUGACCAGCUAAUCAGUGAUGGUCACUGCCUAGAACUAAGAAUUAGAGUUAUAUGUACCUAUGUUCUGAUUCCAAAUGUUUGAGUUAUCAUUAAUACAUUUUCAUAGGUUUUUUUUAUUUCCUAUCAUUCAAAGAUCAGGACACUUUCAAUCCAUAUUUUUUGGUGGAGUGUUGAUGAAUGGUGUGUGUCAUACCUGGCCAAAUGGCUCGGCACGGCCCGGCCUGCGGUAAACGUGCACGACACGACCCGCGACGGCACGACUAAUAGCCGGGCCGUGCCGGGCCGGCCCACGGGCGGGAGCUCGCACCCUAGGCACGGCCCAGCUACUAAUUGGGCCGGCCCACCUGAAGGAAAUAUGCCCUAGAGGCAAUAAUAAAGUUACUAUUUAUUUCCUUAUUUCAUGAUAAAUGUUUAUUAUUCAUGCUAGAAUUGUAUUAACUGGAAACAUGAUACAUGUGUGAAUACAUAGACAAACAGAGUGUCACUAGUAUGCCUCUACUUGACUAGCUCGUUGAUCAAAGAUGGUUAUGUUUCCUAGCCAUAGACAUGAGUUGUCAUUUGAUCAACGGGAUCACAUCAUUAGGAGAAUGAUGUGAUUGACUUGACCCAUUCCGUUAGCUUAGCACACGAUCAUUUAGUAUUCUGCUAUUGCUUUCUUCAUCACUUAUACAUGUUCCUAUGACUAUGAGAUUAUGCAACUCCCGUUUACCGGAGGAACACUUUGUGUGCUACCAAACGUCACAACGUAACUGGGUGAUUAUAAUGGUGCUCUACAGGUGUCUCCGAAGGUACUUGUUGGGUUGGCGUGUUUCGAGAUUAGGAUUUGUCACUCCGAUUGUCGGAGAGGUAUCUCUGGGCCCACUCAGUAAUGCACAUCAUUAUAAGCCUUGCAAGCAUUGUAACUAAUGAGUUAGUUGCGGGAUAAUGUAUUACGGAACGAGUAAAGAGACUUGCCGGUAACGAGAUUGAACUAGGUAUUGAGAUACCGACGAUCGUAUCUCGGGCAAGUAACAUACCGAUGACAAAGGGAACAACGUAUGUUGUUAUGCAGUUUGACAGAUAAAGAUCUUCGUAGAAUAUGUGGGAGCCAAUAUGAGCAUCCAGGUUCAGCUAUUGGUUAUUGACCGGAGACGUGUCUCGGUCAUGUCUACAUUGUUCUCGAACCCGUAGGGUCCGCACGCUUAAAGUUCGAUGACGGUUAUAUUAUGAGUUUAUGUGUUUUGAUGUAACGAAGGUAGUUCGGAGUCCCGGAUGAGAUCGGGGCAUGACGAGGAGUCUUGAAAUGGUCGAGACGUAAAGAUCGAUAUAUUGGACGACUGUAUUCGGACAUCGGAAAGGUUCCGAGUGAUUCGGGUAUUUUUCGGAGUACUGGAGAGUUACGGGAAUUCGCCGGGGAGUAUAUGGGCCUUAUUGGGCUUUAGGGGAAAUAGAGAGGAGAGGCUGGGCGCCCCCCCAAGGCCUAGUCCGAAUUGGACUAGGGGAGGGGCUGCGCCCCCUCCUUCCUUCUCUUCUCUCUCCCCUUUCCUUGACUCCUACUCCUACUACUUGGAAGGGGGGGAAUCCUACUCCCGGUGGGAGUAGGACUCCUCCUAGGGCGCGCCAUAGAGAGGGCCGGCCCUCCCCCUCCUCCACUCCUUUAUAUACGGGGAGGAGGGCACCCCUUGGAGAUACAAUAAUUGAUCGUUUGAUCUUUUAGCCGUGUGCGGUGCCCCCCUCCACCAUAGUCCACCUCGAUAAUACUGUAGCGGUGCUUAGGCGAAGCCCUGCGUCGGUAGAACAUCAUCAUCGUCACCACGCCGUCGUGCUGACGAAACUCUCCCUCAACACUCGGCUGGAUCGGAGUUCGAGGGACGUCAUCGGGCUGAACGUGUGCUGAACUCGGAGGUGCCAUGCGUUCGGUACUUGAUCGGUCGGAUCGUGAAGACGUACGACUACAUCAACCGCAUUGUGCUAACGCUUCCGCUUCCGGUCUACGAGGGUACGUGGACAACACUCUCCCCUCUCGUUGCUAUGCAUCACCAUGAUCUUGCGUGUGCGUAGGAAUUUUUUUGAAAUUACUAUGUUCCCCAACAGUGGUAUCAGAGCCAGGUUUUAUGCAUAGAUGUCAUAUGCACGAGUAGAACACAAGUGAGUUGUGGGCGAUAUAAGUCAUACUGCUUACCAGCAUGUCAUACUUUGGUUCGGCGGUAUUGUUGGAUGAAGUGGCCUGGACCGACAUUACGCGUACGCUUACGCGAGACUGGUUCUACCGACGUGCUUUGCACACAGGUGGCUGGCGGGUGUCAAUUUCUCCAACUUUAGUUGAACCAAGUGUGGCUACGCCCGGUCCUUGCGAAGGUUAAAACAACACCAACUUGACAAACUAUCGUUGUGGUUUUGAUGCGUAGGUAAGAACGGUUCUUGCUAAGCCCAGUAGCAGCCACGUAAAACUUGCAACAACAAAGUAGAGAACGUCUAACUUGUUUUUGCAGGGCAUGUUGUGACGUGAUAUGGUCAAGACAUGAUGCUAAAUUUUAUUGUAUGAGAUGAUCAUGUUUUGUAACCGAGUUAUCGGCAACUGGCAGGAUCCAUAUGGUUGUCGCUUUAUUGUAUGCAAUGCAAUUGCCCUGUAAUGCUUUACUUUAUCACUAAGCGGUAGCGAUAGUCAUAGAAGCAUAAGAGUGGUGAGACGACAACGAUGCUACGAUGGAGAUCAAGGUGUCGCGCCGGUGACAAUGGUGAUCAUGACGGUGCUUCGGAGAUGGAGAUCACAAGCACAAGAUGAUGAUGGCCAUAUCAUAUCACUUAUAUUGAUUGCAUAUGAUGUUUAUCUUUUAUGCAUCUUAUCUUGCUUUGAUUGACGGUAGCAUUAUAAGAUGAUCUCUCACUAAAUUUCAAGAUAAAAGUGUUCUCCCUGAGUAUGCACUGUUGCCAAAGUUCGUCGUGCCCAGACACCACGUGAUGAUCGGGUGUGAUAAGCUCUACGUCCAUCUACUACGGGUGCAAGCCAGUUUUGCACACGCAGAAUACUCAGGUUAAACUUGAUGAGCCUAGCAUAUGCAGAUAUGGCCUCGGAACACUGAGACCGAAAGGUCGAGCGUGAAUCAUAUAGUAGAUAUGAUCAACAUAGUGAUGUUCACCAUUGAAAGCUACUCCAUUUCACGUGAUGAUCGGUUAAGGUUUAGUUGAUUUGGAUCACGUGAUCACUUAGAGGAUUAGAGGGAUGUCUAUCUAAGUGGGAGUUCUUAAGUAAUAUAAUUAAUUGAACUUAAAUUUAUCAUGAACUUAGUCCUGGUAGUAUUAGCAUAUCUAUGUUGUAGAUCAAUAGCUCGCGUUGUUGCUUCCCUAUGUUUAUUUUGAUAUGUUCCUAGAGAAAAACUAUGUUGAAAGAUGUUAGUAGCAAUGAUGCGGAUUGUAUCCGUGAUCUGAGGAUUAUCCUCAUUGCUGCACAGAAGAAUUAUGUCCUUGAUGCACCGCUAGGUGACAGACCUAUUGCACGAGAAAAUGCAGACGUUAUGAACGUUCGGCUAGCUCAAUAUGAUGACUACUUGAUAGUUUAGUGCACCAUGCUUAAUGGCUUAGAAUAGGGACUUCAAAGACGUUUUGAACGUCAUGGACCAUAUGAGAUGUUCCAGGAGUUGAAGUUAAUAUUUCAAGAAAAUACCCGAGUUGAGAGAUAUGAAUUCUCCAACAAGUUCUAUAGCUAAAAGAUGGAGGAGAAUAGCUCAAGCAGUGAGCAUAUGCUCAGAUUGUCUGGGUACUACAAUCGCUUGAAUCAAGUGGAAGUUAAUCUUCCAGAUAAAAUAGUGAUUGACAGAAUUCUCUAGUCACGAUCACCAAGUUAGUAGAACUUCGUGAUGAACUAUAAUAUGCAAGGGAUGACGAAAGUAAUUCCCGAGCUCUUCGCGAUGUUGAGAUCGACGAAGGUAGAAAUCAAUAAAAGAGCAUCAAGUGUUGAUGAUUAACAAGAUCACUAGUUUCAAGAAAAGGGCAAAGGGAAAGAAGGGCAACUUCAAGAAGAACGGCAAGCAAGUUGCUGCUCAAGUGAAGAAGCCCAAGUUUUGACCUAAGCCUGAUACUGAGUGCUUCUACUACAAAAAGAACUGGUCACUGGAACAAAAGUAUAUUUGAUAUACAUGUUAUUGAUGUGUACUUUACUAGUGUUUAUAGCAACCCCUCGGUACUUGAUACUGGUUCAGUUGCUAAAGAGUAGUAACUCGAAACGGGAGUUGCAUAAUGAACAGAAACUAGUUAAGGAUGAAGUGACGAUGUGUAUUGGAAGUGGUUCCAAGAUUGAUAUGAUCAUCAUCGCACACUCCCUAUACUUUCGGGAUUAGUGCUGAACCUAAAUAAGUGUUAUUUGGUGUUUUGCGUUGAGCAUGAAUAUGAUUUGAUCAUGUUUAUUGCAAUACGGUUAUUCAUUUAAGUUAGAGAAUAAUUGUUGUUCUGUUUACAUGAAUAAAACCUUAUAUGGUUACACACCCAAUGAAAAUGGUUCGUUGGAUCUCGGUCGUAAGUGAUACACAUAUUCAUAAUAUUGAAGCCAAAAGAUGCAAAGUUAAUAAUGAUAGUGCAACUUAUUUGUGGCACUGCCGUUUAGGUCAUAUUGGUGUAAAGCGCAUGAAGAAACUCCAUGCUGAUGGGCUUUUGGAAUCACUUGAUGCUUGCGAACCAUGCCUCUUGGGCAAGAUGACUAAAACACUGUUCUCCGGAACAAUAAAGCGAGCAACAGAUUUGUUGGAAAUCAUACAUACUAAUGUAUGUGGUUCGAUGAAUAUUGAGGCUCGUGACAGGUAUCGUUAUUUUCUGACCUUCACAGAUGAUUUGAGCAGAUAUGGGUAUAUCUUCUUGAUGGAACAUAAAGUCUGAAACAUUUGAAAAGUUCAUAUAAUUUCAGAGUGAAGUGGAAAAUCAUCGUAACAAGAAAAUAAAGUUUCUAUGAUCUGAUCGUGGAGGAGAAUAUUAGAGUUACGAGUUUGGUCUUCAUUUCAAACAAUGCAGAAUAGUUUUGCAACUCACGCCACCUGGAACACCACAGCGUAAUGGUGUGUCCGGACGUCAUAACCAUACUUUAUUAGAUAUGGUGCGAUCUAUGAUGUUUCUUACCGAUUUACCACUAUAGUUUUGGGGUUAUGCAUUAGAGACAGCUGCAUUCACGUUAAAUGGGGCACCAUCGAAAUCCGUUGAGACGACACCUUAUGAACUGUGGUUUGGCAAGAAACCCAAGUUGUCGUUUCUUAAAGUUUGGGGUUGCGAUGCUUAUGUGAAAAAGUUUCAUCCUGAUAAGCUCAAACCCAAAUCGGAGAAAUGUGUCUUCAUAGGAUACCCAAAGGAGACAGUUGGGUACACCUUCUAUCACAGAUCCGAAGGCAAGAUAUUUGUUGCUAAGAAUGGAUCCUUUCUAGAGAAGGAGUUUCUCUCGAAAGAAGUGAGUGGGAGGAAAGUAGAACUUGAUGAGGGAACUGUACCUGCUCCCUUAUUGGAAAGUAGUUCAUCACAGAAAUCUGUUCUUGUGACUCAUACACCAAUUAGUGAGGAAGCUAAUGAUGAUGAUCAUGUAACUACAGAUCAAGUUACUACCCAACCUCGUAGGUCAACCAGAGUGAGAUCAACACCAGAGUGGUAUGGUAAUCUUAUUCUGGAGGUCAUGUUACUUGACCAUGACGAACCUACGAACUAUGAGGAAGCGAUGAUGAGCCCAGAUUCCGUGAAAUGGUUUGAGGCCAUGAAAUCUGAGAUGGGAUCCAUGUAUGAGAACAAAUUAUGGACUUUGAUUGACUUGCCCAAUGAUCGGCGAGCCAUUGAGAUUAAAUGGAUCUUCAAGAGGAAGACGAACGCUGAUAGUAGUGUUACUAUCUACAAAGCUAGAAUUGUCGCAAAAGGUUUUCGACAAGUUCAAGGUGUUGACUACGAUGAGAGUUUCUCACUCGUAUCUAUGCUUAAGUCUGUCCGAAUCAUGUUAGCAAUUGCCGCAUUUUAUGAAAUCUGGCAAAUGGAUAAACAAAACUGCAUUCCUUAAUGGAUUUAUUAAAGAAGAGUUGUAUAUGAUGCAACCAGAAGGUUUUGUCGAUCCAAAAGGAGCUAACAAAGUGUGCAAGCUCCAGCGAUCCAUUUAUGGACUGGUGCAAGCAUCUCGGAGUUGGAAUAUACGCUUUGAUGAGUUGAUCAAAGCAUAUAGUUUUAUACAGACUUGCGGUGAAGCCUGUAUUUACAGGAAAGUGAGUGGGAGUACUACAACAUUUCUGAUAAGUAUAUGUGAAUGACAUAUUGUUGAUCGGAAAUAAUGUAGAAUUAUUCUGCAAAGCAUAAAGGAGUGUUUGAAAGGAGUUUUUCAAAGAAAGACCUCGGUGAAGCUGCUUACAUAUUGAGCAUCAAGAUCUAUAGAGAUAGAUCAAAAUGCUUGAUAAGUUUUUUCAAUGAGUACAUACCUUGACAAGAUUUUGAAGUAGUUCAAAAUGGAACAGUCAAAGAAAGAGUUCUUGCCUGUGUUACAAGGUGUGAAAUUGAGUAAGACUCAAAGCCCGACCACGGCAGAAGAUAGAAAGAGAAUGAAAGUCAUUCCCUAUGCCUCAGCCAUAGGUUCUAUAAAGUAUGCCAUGCUAUGUACCAGAUCCAUUGUAUACCCUACACUGAUUUUGGCAAGGGAGUACAAUAGUGAUCUAGGAGUAGAUCACUGGACAGCGGUCAAAAUUAUCCUUAGUGGAAUAAAGAUAUGUUUCUCGAUUAUGGAGGUGACAAAAGGUUCGUCGUAAAGGGUUACGUCGAUACAAGUUUUGGCACUGAUCCAAAUGACUCUAUGUCUUGAUCUGGAUACAUAUUGAAAGUGGGAGCAAUUAGCUAAAAUAGCUUCGUGCAGAGCAUUGUAGACAUAGAAAUUUGCAAAAUACAUACGGAUCUGAAUAUGGCAGACCCGUUGACUAAACUUCUCUCACAAGCAAAACAUGAUCACACCUUAGUACUCUUUGGGUGUUAAUCACAUAGCGAUGUGAACUAGAUUAUUGACUCUAGUAAACCCUUUGGGUGUUGGUCACAUGACGAUGUGAACUAUGGGUGUUAAUCACAUGGUGAUGUGAACUAUUGAUGUUAAAUCACAUGGCGAUGUGAUCUAGAUUAUUGACUCUAGUGCAAGUGGGAGACUGAAGGAAAUAUGCCCUAGAGGCAAUAAUAAAGUUACUAUUUAUUUCCUUAUUUCAUGAUAAAUGUUUAUUAUUCAUGCUAGAAUUGUAUUAACCGGAAACAUGAUACAUGUGUGAAUACAUAGACAAACAGAGUGUCACUAGUAUGCCUCUACUUGACUAGCUCGUUGAUCAAAGAUGGUUAUGUUUCCUAGCCAUAGACAUGAGUUGUCAUUUGAUCAACGGGAUCACAUCAUUAGGAGAAUGAUGUGAUUGACUUGACCCAUUCCGUUAGCUUAGCACACGAUCAUUUAGUAUUCUGCUAUUGCUUUCUUCAUCACUUAUACAUGUUCCUAUGACUAUGAGAUUAUGCAACUCCCGUUUACCGGAGGAACACUUUGUGUGCUACCAAACGUCACAACGUAACUGGGUGAUUAUAAUGGUGCUCUACAGGUGUCUCCGAAGGUACUUGUUGGGUUGGCGUGUUUCGAGAUUAGGAUUUGUCACUCCGAUUGUCGGAGAGGUAUCUCUGGGCCCACUCAGUAAUGCACAUCAUUAUAAGCCUUGCAAGCAUUGUAACUAAUGAGUUAGUUGUGGGAUGAUGUAUUAUGGAACGAGUAAAGAGACUUGCCGGUAACGAGAUUGAACUAGGUAUUGAGAUACCGACGAUCGAAUCUCGGGCAAGUAACAUACCGAUGACAAAGGGAACAACGUAUGUUGUUAUGCGGUUUGACCGAUAAAGAUCUUCGUAGAAUAUGUGGGAGCCAAUAUGAGCAUCCAGGUUCCGCUAUUGGUUAUUGACCGGAGACGUGUCUCGGUCAUGUCUACAUUGUUCUCGAACCCGUAGGGUCCGCACGCUUAAAGUUCGAUGACGGUUAUAUUAUGAGUUUAUGUGUUUUGAUGUACCUAAUGUAGUUCGGAGUCCCGGAUGAGAUCGAGGACAUGACGAGGAGUCUCGAAAUGGUCGAGACGUAAAGAUCGAUAUAUUGGACGACUAUAUUCGGACAUCGGAAAGGUUCCGAGUGAUUCGGGUAUUUUUCGAAGUACCAGGGAGUUACGGGAAUUCGUCGGGGAGUAUAUGGGCCUUAUUGGGCUUUAGGGGAAAGAGAGAGGAGAGGCUGGGCGCCCCCCAAGGCCUAGUCCGAAUUGGACUAGGGGGAGGGGCUGCGCCCCCUCCUUCCUUCUCUUCUAUCUCCCCUUUCCUUGACUCCUACUCCUACUACUUGGAAGGGGGGAAUCCUACUCCCGGUGGGAGUAGGACUCCUCCUAGGGCGCGCCAUAGAGAGGGCCGGCCCUCCCCCUCCUCCACUCCUUUAUAUAUGGGGAGGGGGGGCACCCCUUGGAGAUACAGCAAUUGAUCGUUUGAUCUUUUAGCCAUGUGCGGUGCCCCCCUCCACCAUAGUCCACCUCGAUAAUACUGUAGCGGUGCUUAGGCGAAGCCCUGCGUCGGUAGAACAUCAUCAUCGUCACCACGCCGUCGUGCUGACGAAACUCUCCCUCGACACUCGGCUGGAUCGGAGUUCGAGGGACGUCAUCGGGCUGAACGUGUGCUGAACUCUGAGGUGCCGUGCGUUCAGUACUUGAUCGGUCGAAUCGUGAAGACGUACGACUACAUCAACCGCGUUGUGCUAACGCUUCCGCUUCCGGUCUACGAGGGUACGUGGACAACACUCUCCCCUCUCGUUGCUAUGCAUCACCAUGAUCUUGCGUGUGCGUAGGAAUUUUUUUGAAAUUACUACGUUCCCCAACACCACCGACACGCCGGGCCCGCUAUUUCGUCUGCUAUUUGACGCAUUGGGCGUUUUUAGCCUGUUUUACCUAUUGGGCCAUAUAGAGAUGUAUAGAAAAAAAAACCGUAAUCGAUCCGUGCCGUGCCAGCCCGUGUGCUCAGGCUACCAGCCCAAGCACGGUCCAGGGCGUGCCGCAUGCCGGGCCCGUUCCGUGCCUGGCACAUGGCGGGUCGUGCCGGCAUGCUCAGGGACCGGCCUGGUUAAUUAGCCCGGCCCAUUUGGGCAACUAUAGUGUGUGUGUGAUCACUGCAUUUAUAUGUUUGGCCAAAUAGUUGUCUAUUUUUCGUAGAAGAGUUUCUGAAUACACUUUAUGUGUGUGUAAUUUGUUUUUUUUAAAACGUGUGUGUAAUUUGUUGGCAUCUAGAAAGUACUAGAGGAAGUUGCUACGACCGUGUUGGCAGAAGCUGCAGCCAGCCAUGGUGGAGCUAACCGGCUUCGACUCGUGUCACGACUGGCGGUGGCAAAAGCUACAACUGGCGUCGUCUCGUGCUAUGACUUUUGGCGGCGGAAGCUACAACCGGCCACAUUGACCGACAUAGGUUUUUUGCUGGAACUAACGGUGGCAAAGCUGCAACCAGCGACGUCACUUGCUGGAACUGGCAACAUUGAGUGUUGGCACUGGGUACGGCCAUUUGCUAGAACCAGCCACAUAGAUUGUUGGGACCGAAAGGACGAAGCAAGCGGAGCAGAUCCGACGGUUCACAUUAGUCGCAUCCUACGGCGCGGAUUGCGACCGAUCGAGGCUGGCGCCGAUCGACCGGCGCCUGGCAAUGGCCUAAACCAAAACGCACGUGCUUCUCGCAGUGGGGAGGUGGGGAAAUGGCGUCGGUGAACAGUUGACCACUCGAUCUAUCCUCCUCACUUUUCCUAUUUCCACUCCACCACGCGGUUCGGGCGCGCUCCAACUCCCAGCUCCAUAAACUCCAGAUCCAUAGGAGUCGGCGCGCUGCAGCUCGUCCGCCGGCGGCAGCCCUCCCCACCGCCGCGGCCUGCCUUGCCCCGCCUUGAGUCGCCUUUCACCGCCGGGCUCCCCCCUUGUCUGCCUCCGGGCCCCUCCUUUUCUGCCGCCGUCGUCGACCAUCUCCGCCGCCGUCCCCGACCACCGGACUCCCUCCUUGUCUGCCGCCGUCUUCCCCGACCACCGGACCACGCAGGCUGUGCGCCUCCUCUGCCUCCCCGACCACCUCGCAUAUCAACUGAAUCACAGUAGGUGAGUGAAAAAAAUUGCAUUUUUCUUUGAUUGGUACUAGUAUUUUGCUGCGAUGUGCUACGGUGGUGUGCUGCUGCUAGACUUGUGGAUGGUCUGUAGGACUGAUGAUGUGCUAGGAUGCUCAUUUGGGGUUUGGGCGCUGGGGAUUUGGGGUUUCGAGUAUCAGAUCUCUGGGCGAUCUGGUCCGGCACUGGUGGUUGGUGGCGAAUGCCGCCGGUUUUCGGUUAAGAUCUCGCGAGCUUGGUGAACCCUUCGGAUUUUUAGAUUCACAUCUGUGUGAAAGGUGCAAAAUUUGCGGACCGAGAUCUGAUCCUGCUUACUCAAAUCUCCUGGAUCAGUGCAAAUGUGUGGGCAUUGUGUGUUCCGUUGGGAACCACAUGAUUACUUGAUUUAUUGGGACCAGGGGUUUAGUUUGUUCUUACUUGCAGUUGAGUUGUGCGUCAAAGCUUGGUCUCGUCAUGCCUGAGGAAAACACUUAGCAUUACGAUUUGGUACAUGGAUAUGUGUAAGAUCAAUCUCAAUCCGUAUACAAUACAGGUCUCUAUGGGCAUGUUCAUCUAGAUUAGCAUCUUUACUUCAUAAACGGCGCAAAAAUUCUGAGUAUCUUGGAAUGCUUUCUUUCCUUUUCUGGGAAUGUGAAGGUUGUGACUGUGUAAACUGUGGGUCCUACAAAUUGCAGUUUGCAUUUAAAGAAUAGUUGAUGAUAGUGUAGGAUUCUAAAUCUUUUUCUCACAUUGCAUAAUGGUAAAUGUAAUAUGCAUGCCUUGAUUCAUCUAAGAUCUAACUGAGCGGUGUUGGUUUUUCCAUCUCCAUUGAGCAGGUCGCUUGAGUUAAUGUGCACCAUAUAGUGCUUUGUCUCUGUUAAAUUGCUUAUGAGAUCAGUAAACUGCUAUGGAUAUAUGAAGCACAGCUGAAGAAGCCCAUAGUGUUUCAUACCAGUGAAUGAUCAAUAUUUUGUCUGUUUCAGAUCUUAGUACCACUAGAGAUGCAAGGAAGAAUGACAGAUUUAUGGUAAACCCUGGUAAAUAUUCGUGGGAGGUCAACAAGUGGCGCCCUGAUUAAGACUGCUACAACACUUUGUGGUUCAUCUCUAAUUAGUGAUGGCGAGAAUGAAGAUCCCAAAGCGUUAUGUCAUAGUAUUGCUGACAUUCAUCUGCACAAAUGUUUGUUACGUUGAGCGUGUGGGUUUCUCGAUUGCGUACACCGUAGCAGCUGAUGCAAUCAACGUGAAUCAAGCAAACAAGGGCCUGAUACUCUCCAUGUUCUAUUAUGGUUAUGUUUUGUCGCAAAUUCCUGGUGGAUGGGCAGCUCAGAGAUUGGGAGGCAGACGUGUUCUGCUACUGUCAUUCCUGUUGUGGUCUUUGAUAUGCGGUCUAAUUCCACUGGACCCCAACAGAGCAGUCAUUCUGGUCCUUUCUCGCCUUUUUGUCGGUGUAGCACAAGGUUUCAUAUUUCCUGCCAUUCACACAGUCCUGGCACAAUGGGUGCCACCGCAGGAGCGCUCUCGCUCAGUGUCAUUAACAACCUCAGGGAUGUACCUCGGGGCAGCUUGUGGCAUGUUGUUUUUUCCAAGUCUGGUGAAGCACAUGGGACCCCAAUCUGUAUGUUUAGUCGAAGCAGUACUUGGAGUAGCAUGGUCUGUAAUAUGGUUGAAGUUCUCCAGUGAGCCACCUCGCACUGACCUUCCAAAAGUGGCAAUGCCAAAAGUAGCAUCUCGGGAGAAGAUUAAGGCGCAAUCAGUAGGGGUUGUUGCACCUCGCACUGUAAAGAUACCAUGGCGAAAGAUUAUCUUCAGUCUACCUGUUUGGGCAAUUGUCGUGAACAACUUCACCUUCCACUAUGCCUUGUAUGUUAUCAUGAACUGGCUGCCUACCUAUUUCGAACUAGCCCUUAAGCUUAGCCUCCAGGAUAUGGGAUCGUCAAAGAUGCUUCCCUAUUUCAACAUGUUUAUAUUCUCCAACAUUGGUGGAGUGGUUGCUGAUCACUUGAUUACAAAAAGGAUCUUAUCAGUUACCAAGACAAGGAAGCUCCUUAACACCAUUGGGUUUGUUGUCUCGGCUGUUGCACUCAUGGCCCUCCCUUCAUUCGGGACGCCCUCAGGGACUGUGAUCUGUUCAUCGGUGUCUCUUGGCUUUCUGGCUCUAGGAAGAGCAGGGUUUGCCGUGAAUCACAUGGAUGUUGCUCCAAAGUUCGCCGGCAUAGUGAUGGGGGUUUCCAAUACAGCUGGGACAUUGGCUGGGAUAGUUGGCGUUGGCCUCACGGGAAAUAUUCUGGAGGCUGCAAAGGCUUCUAACAUGGAUCUAACGAACUCCGAAACCUGGAAAACAGUCUUCUUUGUUCCAGCAUACCUCUGUAUUUUUAGUUCAGUCAUUUUCUUGGUCUUCUCAACUGGUGAGAAGAUUUUUGAAUAGAGGAUGAUUAUUUUUGCCUGUUCUUUUCUUGUCAUUUACGGGCGGCGAGGCAGGAUAGAAACACGGGAAUCUCACAUGUAUUUUAUUCAUUAUACCUGUCAGAUUUCAGAGCUCAGACUGCAUCCCACACAUAUUAAGACUUAUGUUAUGUUAGGAGGAAUAACACUUGUCCGUAGUAAAUUGUGUUAUUUGGAAUGAUCCUAUGACUCUGUUAUUCCAGCUGGCUGGUUGGCCUAUUUACAAUACGUUGUGUAAGCUGGGCAUACAUCAUCUUUGUUUUGUAAGUCAUUUUCCUGGGGAUAGGAAACAAUGUGAAUUGUGCAGCAAGAAGUCAGGAUGACAUGACAACAUUUUGUUUGCUGGCAGGAUCUGAAAAGAAAAUGUGAUUGGUCUACAUUUGAUCUAAAUGAAAUUUCUAUUUAAAGGUAAAUCUGACUGGAACAUGGACGCUCCCUUUGGCUGUGUAGAGGCGCAUUUUUAUGUUUGAUAAACCUGCUGGAAGAUGUUUAUUUCACUGUAAGUGAGCAGUAGAACCUGAAAAACCUGUGCCCACACAUCCCUAGCAAGCUCCAUUCCUUUACAUUCACAUGUUAGUUCAACUAUAUUGGGUAAAGUUGAGGGCCUCUUUGAUUCAUAAGGUUUCAAAAACACAUUGAUGUGCAUAAUUGGGUGUUUAAUUCACAAGAAUAGGACAAGUACAGGAAGCCUAAAAUAUUAUGGUCAAAUUAAGAUUUAACCAUAUGCAAAGGUAAGAUGAAGAUAUUAUUAUAUGCUACUUAAGGCCUUUGCCUUGUUCUUCAUGCAUAUGAAUGUGAAAGAGAAAUUUCAAUGCUUUGAAUCAAAUGGAUAAAAUAGUAGGAAAAAUCUUAUUGAUAUGGUUUUCUUAUGAAUCACAGACACCAUCAAUGUAAAGUCUUGAGAAAACUACGCUUUGCAACCAGUAGUCAUUACAUAUACCGCUGUCCAUUGUGUCCUCUCGUGGAAAGUAGUAAUCUAAACGCUUUUAUAUUAGUUUACGGAGGGAGUAUUAUUUUUGAACAAGAGCAGCAGGGCGGGAUGGUGAUCCUACCAGCUUACAAUACAAGAUACAUUAACAAACAAACAAAAGGAAUAUAAAAAACAGAAAUCUUGUCCACGCGUCGGCAAAGCAGAGACAAUAGAUUCAUGGCCCUGUUUUCCCCAGUCAUCUCGCACAGUUCAAGGUUAGAGUAUAUGCUUGUGGACUUUUAUAUAGAAUAUGAGAAUGGGGAACUAUCAUUGAAAAUCUUUUGUCAAGCCAUCAAACGGGUGACAAGUGAAGUGUUUGGCUAUUUUUGUGAUUGUAAAUGUUUAUAGGGAAAAAUAUUUUUUGCCAGGUUUUUCAUCUAAAUAUUCGAUUAUGAGCACUACUUUUUUUUCCGUUGCAGCUCAAAUUUUUUUCCUAUGAAAAUUUUCAUAUCUAUUUUUCUGUAUCUUUCGAUAACAGAAAUUAAUUUUCUAUGGGAGUAUGUCGCUCGGAGACAUUUGGCAGUCUUCCUAUUCUGAAUUUCUUCCAGUAGCGUAGAGUUCAGACACGACUUGCUCUCUUAUACUUUUCAAACUUCUGGCACUAACCUAGUUGCUGAUGGCAUUACCACUUGAGAUAUUUCCACCCCCAAAAGUACUGCUGCGAGCGCUGCCUUCAAGUUUCGGUUAGUCCAAAGCGUUUCAAGAUGCCUCCCAUUCCUAAUGAACUACAGACGCACUUCCACUAACUUCUUCUAUUUGCCAUUCCUCUCACCCUCUCUCGAGGCUCUCAACUCAAUUCUUGUUAACUAGGAGCUACUUGCUUCAUAAGAAGAGCUAAUAUAUGAGGUGGGAGGAAGACUACGGUCAAAAAAUGGGUAUGCAAGUAUUGAGCAGGAGAAGGCAAUGCAUCCUUAUAUAAAGGCACGUGCCAUAGGCCGAGAGUGUUCACCUCUUUUCUGAAAAAAGUAUAGGAAGACACAUGUACAAGAAAAUAAAGUUGAUACCUAUGUGUGUUGCUUCAACUUUAUAAUGCGACCACAAGCACCUUACAUAGUAGUAUUGCUAGAAUCCUAAAAAAAAAUAGUAUAGCUAGAAAAAUACUCACUUCAUUUCUUUAUGUAAGGUGUAUUAUUUUUGGCACGGUGAUCAUGGCAUAAAAUUAGACAAUUUCAGACAAAACUACCCUUGACAAAUCAUUGGUUAGUGGCAAGUAAAUCAAUUAGUCCAGGAAAUAAAGAGGUAUACACAAUCAAGAGACAGAUAUUUUCCUUCUUUUCCUAGAAGGAGAUAUACAUGCAAUCAUAAGAGAGAUACUUUCCUAUUUUCUGGAGGGCUAAGAACGGAAUAAGGAGGAAUUAGAACAAAUGCACCUUAAUUGUGAAAUUUUAUCAAAAAACAAAUACAACUUUUUUUGAUCGGUAACAAAUACACCUUAUAUUAAGAAACAGAAGGAGUAUAUAACAAUAGUAAAAGAAACAGGCCCAGCCCAUUAAGAGAGGCAAGUCACGAACGAACGUGAUCUCCUUUCUUUCGUUCUCUCCGAUAACGCCGCUGCAAUCUCAUUCGUCUCCCAGUCUCUCCAUAUUUCUCUCCCCCAAUUGAUUGCCCCGAAUUCCUAAGAGACUCCAACUCCCCAAGCUAAUCAAUUAAUUUGUGUCACUGUCCCCAUGGAUUUCUUGGGUGUCUUUCAUCAUAUAACUAACCCCAAAGCCAUUAGUGGGCCGGAGAAGAGAAGCCGACGAGGACGCCAACCCGCGGCGUGGCCGUCCAUCGUCAAGGCUCUGCCAGGGUCCGAGCCUCCGAGGGUAGUAGGCGGUGGAGUAUUAUGCUAUAUGACGAAUUGAUGCAAUGAUAUUUGACCGGCUUGAUCUUUUCUUUUACGUCAGUACAAUGAGGUAGGUUCUGCUGUUUAUGACAUUGCUUGCAUUUGGAUUAUUGGAUAGCUGGAGCAUGGGAUUUCUUCCAAUGUACUCCAAAAUGAGUAAAUUAACUGUUGGCCUAACUUAUUACAAGUACCAGAGGAGUCUCGGGCAGAAUAAAAGCUUUCAUUACAUUGGCCCAACUUGUUACAAGUACAAAUGUUUACAUUUGUUUUGUUGAUUCUCAUCUACCUCAUGUGUUUUGCUCAAAGAAGUUUUUUUAACCCAUGUGUCAUAUAAUUUUACACGGAAACUCACGGAUAUUUUUAUUGUUGUAUCUCUUUUUUCCUUUCGAUAAACUUUCAAAUUCCAAAAAAAAUCAAAAUUUAAAAAACGUUUCAUUUGAAAAUAUUUUCUCAAAUUAAAAAAUGCUUGUGGUUUUCAAAAAUAUAAAAUUUGAAAAUAUAUUCACAAACUAAAAAAAUCGCUUUUAAAAAUAUGUUCAAAAUUUAGAAACAAUUUGAAUUUAAAAAAUGCUCAUGUUCUCCUAAUAUUUUGCAUUUUCAAAAAAUAUUAUUUUUUUUCUAAUUUUUUAUCGCUUUUGUAAAAUGUUCGCAAAUUGUAAAAAAACUUUCACGUUUUCAAAGUAAUGUCGUCCAAUUUGAAAAGAUUGUUCGUGUUUGCCAAAAAAGUGUAAAAUUUGAAACACAAUUCACGUUUACAAAAAUGUUCAUUUGAAAAAUUCUCUCGUUUUCAAAAUUUUACAUUUUUGCAAAAUGUGCAGAAAUUUUAAAUAAUUGUUUCCGUUUUUGCAAAAAAAAUAUUCUAAAAAAUUUCAAUUUAUAUGCUGCAGUAGUCUCGUUGGUUACAGAAUCCAGUUUCCUACAGGUCGGGUUGCUAUAGUAUCGGGUUGCUAUAAGAAACUGGUGCGCUAUAUAAAACCCGACCCGCUACAAUGUGUCUAAAGAAAAUACCAAGAAGCCCCUUGAAGAAAUUGGGGUCGCUACAUGUUUUUUUUUUUUUGAGAAUUGGGGUCACUACACGUGAGCGCGCCUCCGUGCGAGUGGGCUGGCCCAGGCGGGGCAGAGGGCACCUGUUUUGCACUGGCAUUCAUGUUUUUUUUUUUUGCUUGUGAUUGUGCUCAAAAGGAACUGUGCUAAUUUCAUGGUAUUUCACAACAAAUCGAGUUACAAUUUGCGUUUUCCCAUCCUGUUUGAUUUGAUCUCACAAGGUCUUAUGGCCUUAACCUUCACAUAUGUCCAGCAUGUGCUGGUGAACUGGUGAUAGGAAGCAACCGAGGCCUCCAUUGCAACGGCAAGUGGAGGGACGUAUUUCCGGAUGCUUCCCAUUUCCAACGCAUCUGACCCCUCCUGUUAUCAUGUCAUUCCCGUUUAUCACUUUCUUCUUUCCAUGUCUUAAUCUCAUUUGUGUCGAUUUGGCGGCUUCAAAUUGAGAAGCAGAGCUUGCUAAGAUGGGUAGUAGGCUAAAGGAAAAGGAGUGCCCAUCAAUUGGAUAUAUACUCAGCUGGGUUUGGAAGUAUGAAGAGGAGCCAUAUACUUUAUAUAUAUGUGUAAAUGGUGUGGGCCCGUGUAAAGAUCGUCAUAGUUUCUAGUUAAAUAUCUCCUGUGUACUACAACUCAUCAAUGAUCUCUUGCUCUAGUAAAGUAGAGGAUAGGUAUCUCAGUGGCAUUAGUGAUAUCUCAACUCAUCAAUUGUUUCUUGUUUCCAUCUCCAUGAACGUAGCAAGAAACCAGUUUCAAAAAAAGAAGUACCAAUAAACCUACAGACACUUGCAGAGUUCUUUUUCUCACUACUCUGCUAUUGAGGAGUAAAUAGCAAAAAGCUACCACAUUAUAGGCUAGGGUUACAAAAAACUACCUCUUUUCUUAAUUUCCCAAAAUGCUAGCACAAAUUUGGUUCGCUGUUCCAAAAAACACUAGUGAGUAAAGCGUUAACUUUUAACUGCGGUUAUGACAACUUUGGCCCACCCGUCAGGUCUGAUGUGGCAUAAAACUCAACACCGUUAGCUUUGGCCGUUAUGACAGGUGGAACCCACAUGUCAUUCACUUCCAAAAAAAUAAAAAGCAAUCGGGACCCUAUACCUUUCUAGAAAAGCAAUCGGAUCACUGUAAAUGUCUAAAAAAGCAAUCAAGUCCCUGUAACUUUCUAGAAAAAAGCAAUCGGGUCCUGUGAAAAAAAUUAAUCGGGUCCUGUGAAAAAAUUAAUCGGGUCCUGCUUGGCUGCCGGCGAGCUCAUCCCUGCUUCGGCUGCCGCGGCCUAGGGUCGCCGCGCGCGCUGAUCCUGGCUGCGCACCUUCCACUCGCCAGUGAGGAGAGCCAGAGAAGUGAUGGGAUGGCGAGGGAGCUCCAGCUCUCCCUUCAUUGGCCUCCGCCGCCACUCCCGUGUAUGUCCCUUCCCGCGCGCUUGACCGGGAGAGUCCCUCUUCUCCGGCACUGGUGACGCCAGCCCGGCCCGCUCACCCUCGCUUCCACGCUCCCCCCUUCCGAUACCGACGCAGCAGUGAGUAGCAGCAUGCAACGGCAGCGGCAUGCAGCAUCGGAGAAUUGCGGCGGCGGCGGUGGAGAGCAGCAGCAACAACAACACACAGCAGCAGCGGUAGCUUCUGCCCAUGGCGUUGGGGCUACGGGAGAGAGACAGAGCAAGGCGCAUAGGGUGGGUGUCGUGAUAUAGAGAAGAGAAGAGAAGGGAGAGAAGAAGCUGACAUGUGGGCCCCACCCGAUCAUAACCGUCAACUUAACUGUUUGUUUAUAUAACGGUGCUGACUUUUUUGCCACGUGGAACUGACGAGCGGGCCCUCCAUGUCAUAAACCAGAUUAAACCAUUCAGUCACUAGUGUUUUUGGAACAACAAACCAAAUUUGUGGUAGCAUUUUGGGAAGUUAAGAAAAAUGUUAGUUUUUCGUAACCCUAUCCCAUAAUGUGGUAGUUUUCUGCUAUCUACUCUUUGUUUAAAAGGGGAAGUUAAGAAGUUGGCAUCCAUGUAAUAUAUUUUUUGAAAAGGGAAAUAUAUUAAUAUCACGAAGAUGCCAAUUUCUCUGUUUAAAAUUUGCUCUAAAAGCCAAAUCAAAAUACACACAUAUUGUUUGAAUGGAUUAUAAUUUCCUCGUGGGCGCUGGAGCUCCACUCAGAUCUACCCACACUCAGUCAUACGAAGCCAAGGUCGGAAUGCUGCGCCGUUGUAGGAUCACAGCAAUCACACAUGCUAAGGUUGAUCCUGUGUGUUGGUCCGGCUCUAGUUGAUCCUCUGUGUCGCCAUCCAAACUCGGGAAGGUCAAGUGCCCACUGCCACCAUCACAACUCACAUCAUUGAGCGCCUACACUCGUCCAAGUACAAACAUCAUUGAGCGCCCAGUCAGACGAAGCCAAGGUCGGAAUACUGCUCCAUUUAUAGGAUCUGUCAGACCAGAGCCCUCCAUCUCCUUCGCCAUGGUCGCUCACUCGAUCACAGUUGUAGCGCACGCUAAGGUUGACCCUACAUGUUGCUCCAGCUCCAGUUGACCCCCUGUGUUGCCAUCCAAACCCGGGACAGUGAUGCACCCUCUGCUACCAGCAUAAGCGACCGAUCACCAUUCACCCAUCCCCACAAUGCCGACGUCCCCUCCCACUAAACCCUCUCAUGGCAACCCCAACACAAGCACCAAGAAGAAUUAGUUCUCAGAGUUCGGUGAAGAUGGCGAGCAGUAUAGGGGAAUAGGGCAUAGCGCUAAAUCACUCUUUGCAUUGUUUGUCGUAGGUGUGAAUUAUAGCAUGACUGAUUGUCUUUCUUCCUGUUCAUGUAGCUGGUCAUUGGUACUUAUCUUUACCAUGAGUGGUAGUCUGUUAUCUUGUUCUACAAUUUGGCGUUUGCCAACUUGGUAUACUGAUCGUUGUAGCAUUGCACUCUGCUUAUCUUUAGUGAAAUACGUGCACUGUGUGUUCUCGAAAUCAGCAUUGUACUCUGCUUCUCCUGGAUUAAAUAUGUGUUCUUGGAAGAAACACCGGACUACUUUAAGUAUUGCAAUAUAUUUUAUCAACAAGGUAAAUAGGUUGCAUGAAAAAAAUUCAGUCAGUAGCCAAAUUUAGUAAAUCAAAUAUCGAGGAGGUAAUUUUCUUUCAAUUGGUUUUGGAUGAAGAUCUAUUUCAGAUUAAGUACUACUCAUCUUAUUAACUUGUAGUUCAUGAUUUUUUAAUUGUAUUCAUAGAUGUUGAAUAUUUUUUUUCAAUAAUACAGGAGAUAACGUGAGUCUUCAUUAAAAGCUGCAUGAUUAGUAACUCCCAGUAUAGGAACAUCUUCCCAAUUUGGGCACUCGCAGAGUACCGGCACCGAGUCUUGGCUGGUGGCAGCUAGUACUUAUGUGUUUAGGGGCAAUGAAUUUGUGCAGUCUGUAGGAAUCUGCAGAUCAUUUAUUUAUUUAUGUAUGUUCAUUGUUGAUGAAUAUAUAACCCAAUAUGUAAAACAUAUAAUUUUGUGAGGGGUUCCGAUCUCUUUAAAACAUAAAUCAAUGCAAUUCUAGAUGGACAGAUAGUAGAGUUCAUCAGUUUAUGUCAUUGAUAAGAGCGACUUUUUCAGAGAGCUGUAGUAAUUUUCUGUAGAUAUAUUUCCACCAAAGGGCAAAUUAGGUUAAUGCCGAAAAUCAAAUCAAUUCUUUGGAUGGAAAUUUCAGUAUAUCGAAAUGUGGGCUUGCAGCAAUGGUACCGUCCUAUGCACAAUCCAGAUCAAAGCAGCGCAUUGUCCCCUUUGCUGAGCUCGCGGCCACCCCUAGUUGUGCCCAACCUGCACCCGCGAGAUGAAAGCCGAGUUCCCUCUAGUCUUUAACCUUCACAUCCUAGUCAUUGCAUAUUCUGCAUGUGGUGGAGAAAGGCAGCAAUCGACGCCUCCGUUGCAACAGCAAGUGGAGGGACGUUUUUCCGGAUGCCUCACAUUUCCAGCACAUUGCACACCCAUCUAACCCCUCCUAUUGUCAUGUCAUUCCCAUUUAUCACUUUCUUCUUUCCAUGUCUAAGUCUCAUUUGUGUCGGUUUGGCGGCCUCAAAUUGAGAAGCAGAGCUAGCUAAGAUGGGUAGUAGGCUAAAGGAAAAGGAGUUCCCAUAUACUUUAUAUAUAUGUGUAAAUGGUGUGGGCCCGAGUAAAGAUCGUCAUAGUUUCUAGUAAAAAAGAAAAUAUCUCCUGUGAACUACAACUGAUCAAUGAUCUCAGUGGCAGCAGUGAUAUCUCAACUCAUCAAUUGUUUCUUGUUUCCAUCUCCAUGAACGUAGCAAUAGACCUCAAACGAAAAAAAAA
rnacentral:lncRNA from 1 species